rnacentral:lncRNA from 1 species
UCACGACCCCCGCGACCACCCGCCUAUUUGGCCGAGGUCGCUGCGCCGACAGCGCCGAACGGACAGGAUUUCCCCUGUACUGCGGACAGAGUCUCCCCUGUACGUUCAAGGCAUCGCAAUCAAUACAAUACAAAGGUUCCAACCAAGAACAGUAUUCAACAAACAGAUUGCAUAAGAAAGGUAUCAACAACAUAACACGUCCUAUGUUAUUACAUACAUUCACAUUCAUUGGUUUUACAUCACAAUUCUCAUUUGAUUUCUUCCAAACACAAUCUAGUUAUUACAAAUUUAUUUACAAGUUUAUACAUUGUGUUCUUUUCAUUCCCCAUACCCCUAAGCUAUGUCGACGGGGUACUACUAGCUCUGGUCUCUGGGUAGGGCGCUAUCUAUGGAGCUACGCCCUUUCCUCGCGCCGCCGCGCCGCUCACGUGCGAACCUGUACCCCCAAANNNNNNNNNNNNNNNNNNNNNNNNNNNNNNNNNNNNNNNNNNNNNNNNNNNNNNNNNNNNNNNNNNNNNNNNNNNNNNNNNNNNNNNNNNNNNNNNNNNNNNNNNNNNNNNNNNNNNNNNNNNNNNNNNNNNNNNNNNNNNNNNNNNNNNNNNNNNNNNNNNNNNNNNNNNNNNNNNNNNNNNNNNNNNNNNNNNNNNNNNNNNNNNNNNNNNNNNNNNNNNNNNNNNNNNNNNNNNNNNNNNNNNNNNNNNNNNNNNNNNNNNNNNNNNNNNNNNNNNNNNNNNNNNNNNNNNNNNNNNNNNNNNNNNNNNNNNNNNNNNNNNNNNNNNNNNNNNNNNNNNNNNNNNNNNNNNNNNNNNNNNNNNNNNNNNNNNNNNNNNNNNNNNNNNNNNNNNNNNNNNNNNNNNNNNNNNNNNNNNNNNNNNNNNNNNNNNNNNNNNNNNNNNNNNNNNNNNNNNNNNNNNNNNNNNNNNNNNNNNNNNNNNNNNNNNNNNNNNNNNNNNNNNNNNNNNNNNNNNNNNNNNNNNNNNNNNNNNNNNNNNNNNNNNNNNNNNNNNNNNNNNNNNNNNNNNNNNNNNNNNNNNNNNNNNNNNNNNNNNNNNNNNNNNNNNNNNNNNNNNNNNNNNNNNNNNNNNNNNNNNNNNNNNNNNNNNNNNNNNNNNNNNNNNNNNNNNNNNNNNNNNNNNNNNNNNNNNNNNNNNNNNNNNNNNNNNNNNNNNNNNNNNNNNNNNNNNNNNNNNNNNNNNNNNNNNNNNNNNNNNNNNNNNNNNNNNNNNNNNNNNNNNNNNNNNNNNNNNNNNNNNNNNNNNNNNNNNNNNNNNNNNNNNNNNNNNNNNNNNNNNNNNNNNNNNNNNNNNNNNNNNNNNNNNNNNNNNNNNNNNNNNNNNNNNNNNNNNNNNNNNNNNNNNNNNNNNNNNNNNNNNNNNNNNNNNNNNNNNNNNNNNNNNNNNNNNNNNNNNNNNNNNNNNNNNNNNNNNNNNNNNNNNNNNNNNNNNNNNNNNNNNNNNNNNNNNNNNNNNNNNNNNNNNNNNNNNNNNNNNNNNNNNNNNNNNNNNNNNNNNNNNNNNNNNNNNNNNNNNNNNNNNNNNNNNNNNNNNNNNNNNNNNNNNNNNNNNNNNNNNNNNNNNNNNNNNNNNNNNNNNNNNNNNNNNNNNNNNNNNNNNNNNNNNNNNNNNNNNNNNNNNNNNNNNNNNNNNNNNNNNNNNNNNNNNNNNNNNNNNNNNNNNNNNNNNNNNNNNNNNNNNNNNNNNNNNNNNNNNNNNNNNNNNNNNNNNNNNNNNNNNNNNNNNNNNNNNNNNNNNNNNNNNNNNNNNNNNNNNNNNNNNNNNNNNNNNNNNNNNNNNNNNNNNNNNNNNNNNNNNNNNNNNNNNNNNNNNNNNNNNNNNNNNNNNNNNNNNNNNNNCAUCAACCUAGGUUCCAAUACUCUAGGUUCUAUGUCCACGUCACUUAACCUAGAUACACUUGCUAGGUUCUUGUCAUCUUUGCCUAGAUGUCUACUUCUAGGUUUACUAGUUCGACCUAGGUUUACUAACACUAGGAUCGAUGCCACACAGCUAGAUUGUUCGACUCUAGGUUCACUUGUUCAACCUAUGUUCUUUAAUACUAGUUAGGUGCCACUCGAUCUAGUUGACAUCCUAGUUGUCCAAUCGAGUCUCAUUACCAAUGAACUCUACACUUCUAGAGUUAUCAUCUAGUUUACAUGCAUAUAUAUACACUCAAACUACUUGUGCAUUCAUGCGCUAUCUAGCAUUUUCAUAUUGUUCAUUAUGCUUUCUACUUAGCAUUAUCAUUAACAUGCACAAUUUAGUCUUGUCUACAUACAUCAACAUGAGAUUACAUUGCUUAGACAUAAAGGGCGACCUAGUAGCUUCGGUAAGCACAGCCCACCUUAGCUAGCUUUCUGAUUGCUUGUCGACACUUGCAAUCGGCCUCCCGUGGCACUCGGCACCCGUUUGGGCCCGAUCUCACAGUUGCUCUCCAAGAGCGCCGCUUCGCCGUUUCAAGAGUUAAAGGUCUUCGCCUUGCUACUACGGUGCUUGGGACCCGAUUUCACGAUUUAUGGACGUCGCCUCGGCCUUCCAGGCGAAAACGAAGCUCCAAGCGUCCGUUUCUUCAAUAUCUUCGCAACGGCUUGUCGGAUUGUCGAACCCACUUCGCCAAUGUAUUUCGUUACCUACCAAUUAGGUUUACGAUGGGUCAAAUGAGAUCAAACUCAUCUAUUUACAAAAACCCUCUUUGGAUGCCCUAGAAUGCCAUUAUUACCAAAUCCACCAAAUCGAUCUAUGAAAUGGGAAAAAAUCAUCUUAAUAGCAUACUAGGGUUCCAUUCUAACCAUUUCUAGAGAUCAAAAACCUAUCUCUAAGGAUCUAACAUGAGGGAGCACCAAGCUUACCUCUCUAGGCUUGCUCUAAUGGAGAGAAGAUGAAGAGGAUGAUGAUGAUGAUCCUCUUCUUCUCCUCCAUCUUCUCCUUCUUUUCUUCUUCUCUUUUCUUUUCUUUUCUUUUCUUUCUUUUCCUUCCUCUCUUCUUCCCCUUUUUCCUCUUCUACGACCGGAGAGAGAGAGAGAGCAGUGAGGGAGAGUGUGAGGGAGAGUGAGAGAGAGAGAGAAAACACCUCUCUAAUAACCCCUCUCAUAUUGUAACAAAAUGCUAAGAAGCCCCUCAACUUUUCCUCUCUUACACAGCCCUCACUGGGCAUUCUGUGCGCGGAGGGACCGGUCUCCCCGACCUGGGACCGGUCCCCGAGAGCUCCCCCCGAUUCCACGCGUUCGGGAACCGGUCUCUCCCUGAGAGACCGGUCCCCCGGAGACCGGUCCGCCCACCAGAGACUGGUCCCCGAGAGCUCGUCUCGCGGGACUUGGCCAAUUUUUGGCCAUUCUCGUUGGUGUCACCUGCGGGGACCGGUUCCCCUGCUGCCAGGGACCGGUUGCCUCAGCAACCCCGCAACCUUUAGCUGAUGGGACCGGUCUCUCCAGCCAAAGACCGGUCCCCGAGAGCAAAUCUGCCAAAGAUGCAGAUUUUGCAUCCUCGCUCUCGCGGACUCCAUUCCAAUGCACUUAUUGAGUUUCGUGCAUCCUUAGCUUUUCCAAAACUUACUAACUCAACCCUCAGUCGAUUCUGGACGAAGUGCAACUCUCCGAUUUCGAGAAUUCACAUUGUUACAAUAACACCAAGUCAUUGAUGCUACCAAGUUUUUGGCCAUUGGAUUAAAAGAUGUGCGGUUAGGAUGAUGUGGGCCCCCUAGAGUUGAGUGGGUGGUUGGUUGAAUAGUAUGAUCUUACGCUAACGGGCUGAAAUAAUAAAGGUAAAACUACGGCGGAAAAUUGGGCACAAGUUGCUUCGCUACAUUAAUAGCGCAUAGUAGUCGGACUUAUAUAUUACUAUAUAAUAAUAUAAGUCGACUAGGGUAUAUCGAUACCCCAAGAUUUGUGCUAUCGAAUUUUUCACCGUAGUUUAAACUUUGAAUUAUUUGUUACCAUUAGAUAUAAUAACUAUUUCAACCAAUCCAUUACCUCAACCCUAGGGGGCCCAACAUCCAUCCUACACCCAUUUCUUAAUCAAAGCUAAAAAUCAAUUAAACAUUAGCUUGGUGCUAUGAGCAUUCCAGCCUUAGUUCAUACUAGUAUAUAUAUUAUUACUUAUAUAUAAUGAGCUCCUAUAGCUUUUAAAAAGUACCAAGUCAUGGUGUGCUUGUAAGGUUUUUAGCCCUGAUAAGGAUGUUGGCCGGUUAAGAUGGUGUGGACCCUAGGGUUCAGGUGGGGAUUGUUGAAUAAGAUAAUCUAACGGGUGUAAAUGAUUCAAAGGCGUAUAUUUUAACAGAGCGUAAAAAAUUUACAAGUCAAUACUUGGUAUUUUACAAGCACCAAUAGCCGACCUAUGUAUAUAUAUAUAUAUAUAUAUAUAUAUAUACUUAUAUAUAUAGAUAUAUAUAUGUUAUAUACGUAUUUAGUAUAAUAUCAGUGUAGCGAGCUACGGUAUGCCUAUCGGAGGCAUAAAGUUAGUUGGUGCUUCAUUUUUUAGGCUCUUGGAUAAAAAUUCUAGUUAGGGAUGUAUAGUGUCCCUUUAGGGUUGAGUGCGUCCCAUUGGUUUAAUUAUAUUAUCAAUGUUUAGAAAUAUUCAAUGAGGUAGAUCUACAGGCUAAAAAUCAGAGCACCAAACUCUUUAUGCUAUAGAGUAUAGUUAGAGUUUUCGCCGUUAGUUAACACCCUUUUGAAUAUUUUAUCCGGUUAGGAUAUACUAUUAACGAACCACCCACUCAACCCUGGGGCGGCCCAAAUAUCCUAACCGCCACAUCUCUUAUCAAUGGCCGCACAAAUUGUGGAUAGCACAAUGACGUUGGUGCUAUUAAUAGUAUAUUAGCCUAGUAUAUAUAAUUAUAUAUUAUAUAUAUAUAUAUAUAGAAUUUAGACUGCGAUACUAUUUAAUAGUAAAAUCUUCUUUUUGCUAUCAAGUUUUUAACCUGAUGAAAUUGUAGGGUUGGGGCGCGAGAUAUAGUCAGUUAGAGUUGAGGUGCGUCCCCCGUAGGGUUGAGUUCCCACUGGCGCGGUAUAGUAUUUAAUGCCAAUGUUAGAAUGAUGAGAAAGACGUUGAAUUAUAAGGUUCACUGCCCCGAGGUCCCUUUCAGUUAAAACAAAGGGAAAAGCGUCUGAAUUUUUUUUUUGUUGCAAAACCUGACCACAGGUAUGCCGAUCGCCACAAAUAACAGGGAAUCUACUUUCCACGGCCAGGAGUCUCCCCUAGUAUUUGCACAGGCGUCGAUCAAAUACACCAGCUAAACCAGGGAUACAACCGACAACAGAUGGAAUUAUAAGGAUACUAUAAAUUCCUACAUUCACGCAUUCACAUCAAAAGUUUUAAUUGCAAUUUUAGAUAGUAAUCACAAAAAUUUUUGAAAGCUGUUGUCCUAACAGAAACCUUUAUUCUUUUAAAACGUACACGAAGGGGUUAGAAAAACCUUUUUUUUACAAAGAGGGUGGAGGCAGAAAUCCACACUUCGAAUGAAAAUUUACUAUGAACUAAUGAAAACCAACUAAACUAUAUUUCAAGCAGAAUACAAGGUAACAACGAAAUCGAAACAAACCUGGGUCGGAAAGACUCUAAUCGACCGCUACACGUACCUCACGUCUCGUCAGCUACUUCAUCGCCGCGAUACUGAAAAUGGGGGGGGAGGUGAGAACAUNNNNNNNNNNNNNNNNNNNNNNNNNNNNNNNNNNNNNNNNNNNNNNNNNNNNNNNNNNNNNNNNNNNNNNNNNNNNNNNNNNNNNNNNNNNNNNNNNNNNCGAAGGUGAUCGUAUUCAUAAUAAUAUAGUAGCGGGACUACAUAUAUGUAGAGUCCGGCUACUAUACUCUUACGAGUAUAGAUCUUUUUGCAUUCAUAAGUUUUUGGCCGUUAGAUCCACCCUUUUGACCAUUUCUACUCGUUAGAUCAUAAUAUUCAACCAACCACCAACUCAACCCUAACCGUGGACUACUAUCAUCCUUACCGCACAUCUCUUCAUCCAACGGCCAAAAACUUAUGAGUACAAAGGGACCUAUACUCACAAAAGUAUAGUAGCCCUAACAUGUAUGUAUAUAAAGUCCGACUCUAUACUAUUAAUAGCACCCAAGCACUUGGUGCUACCCCUUUGACCAUUUUCACCCAUUAGAUCAUACUAUUCAACCAACCACCCAACCACUAUCAUCCUAACAGCACAUUUAAUAAUCCAAGGACCGAAAACCUAAUAUCACCAAUGAAUUAGUGCUAUUAAUAGUAUAGUAGCCUAGUGCUAUAUAUAUAGGGAUAUUAGGGCUGGAUACUCUCAAAAGCACAUGAAUAGUACAUGCUCUCGACUUUCUAACCCUUGGAUUUGUAGGAUUUAUUAUUUGGUGGUUGAACUAGCAUGAAGCCAAGAGCCUGAUAGUCUAUAGCAUGCACUAUUCAUGUGCUAUUAGAAGCACCCAAGAUGGACUCUCUCUCUCUCUCUCUCUCUCUCUCUCUCUCUAUAUAUAUAUAUAUAGCAAAUGCAUAUGCAAGUCAGAUUCAUAAUUCAUGGUGAUAUCUAUAAGAUCGGUGCUCUCCAAUUAAGUUUGGCAACGAUAAGUAAUUUGAUAAAUCAAAGAUGUAAUCAAAAGAGGAAAUUUCUUGAAAAAUUGAAAUCUCCAAAAAUAACAGCAAUCACCUUAAAACAAAUGAGAUGUAUAACAAUAAUUAACUAGUGCAUUAUGCAUCCACUAGUCUUAUAGGAAUGAAGAGCAACGUUUUUUCUUAAAAGAACAUAAUUGCACUAUUUGCACAUCUUGUAGCGUCAAAAGAUUACACAAUAUACAACUCUUGAAGAAGUUUGAAUACUAUGAGAGAAUAACAGGCCAUGAUGCUUAGUACACAAAUCAACACAACAUUUCCAAGUAAUUAUAAACCCCAUGACAGCAAGAAUACCUCCAUAUUCAUAAAGCUUCUAUUUAACUUCUGACUCCCACAAUGCCAGCUCAAAGUCAUAAAUCAGCUAGCUUAACAAUGACAAAUACCUGACAACAAAAGAUAAUUUAACCAUUCUCAUCAUGGGAUAGUUUGUAGAAUAAGAGAUAUGUCGAGUUAUUUCACCAACACAUCUGAAAGUUCAUUGAAUGAACAUGUAAUCCACUCAGAAACUAGCAACGACAUCAAGUGCUAUAAUGAUGGAUCAAUAGAUGCUUUUUAUGCCAUUGUUCUCAGCCACCCAAGCAGCCAAAGAAGACCAGCAUCUAAAAUAGGAGAUCUUUUUUCAAACCCUAGAAUGACAGGAAAGAACACAAAUAAAGCUACAUAGUACCAUAAAUCACCUAAUAGGUCAUCACCUUUCCAGUUUCCAUCAGUGAUGGAUGGAAAAGAUGAUCGUAAAACAAGUAAAUAACAAAGAGCAUUUCACAAGCUUAAAAAUGGCUAUUUAGUUCCAUUCUGAAUGAUUUAAUAUGUUCCGAGAAUACAAUACCUAUAUCACAGAAACUCUGUGAGCACAUAUGAUUCCUGAGAAAGAUACAACUAUGACACCCUGUCCUGGAAAACAACUAUCACCAACACAGUAGAGACUAUCUAUAGCCUGCAAGGCCCAAAAAGUCAGUCGAAAGUUUACUGGUAUUAUCUCGAGCUUAAAAAAAAGAAAAUCUCACCGUUGUAUUGGAAGGCAUCCCUAAUAAAACUUUUGGUGUUGUUCGUGGCAAAGGCCCCUAGGUCCCACUAUCUCGAGCGAGGAAUCUCCUGUGAGUUCUAGGAGUGCCUACCUAUUAUAAACAGAUAUAUGACUGGGACAAAUAGAGGCAGCACUCUAACAAUAUAAGUUAUGACUAGAUAUAGCAUGCACAGAGAAAUAAUCAGUAGCAUCUAUUGAAAAAUCGGUAUAAAAUGGACACGUUUGCUGACAACACCACUUUGUUUACAAGCAAAUGCUACCUCUUUAUUAAGCACUAUAAUAAGGUUUAAAGUGCCGUGGCACCGGGGCGUGCCGCUGUCUGCCUGCCACAGUACGGCACCGACACGCUUCCGUGCCGACACAUGGUACGCUUGAGUGCCGAUAAAUACGCACGACCUCUUACUGGCACGCUUUGACACGGACUUAUUUUAAUUUUUUUUGUUCCAAUAAACUCUUAUAAUGUUAUUUUGAAAGAUUUAAUCAAAUAAUUAAAAAUAUUUGUUAUGUAUAGCUUACUAUACUCAUCAAUUAAUAUAUUUGUAAGCUUUUUUGUAUGUAAAGUGCAGUUAUACCUGAAGUCCAGCUAGGAUACUAUCGAUAGUACGAAGCAUUUUGUGCUAUCAAGUUUUCUGCCAUUAGAUUUACCUUUUUAUCAUUUUCAUCCGUUUGAUUAUACUAUUCAACUAACCACCUACUCAACCCUAGGAGGGCCACAUCAUCCUCACCUCACAUCUUUUAAUCCAAGGAUAGAAAACUUAAUAGCACCAAGUCAUUGGUGCUAUUAAUAGUAUUCCAGCCUUGUUCGUUAUACCUGAUGCAGAAUAGAAAUUUUUACAGGUUAAAAUUUUUAAAAUGCAAAGGCAUCUUUUUUUUCUUUUUUUUGACAAUAUUACAGUAUUUCUUUUAUAAAAUACAAAAAAAUAAUUUUUAAAAUAAUUUUUAAAAAUUAUUUUUUAAUUAAUUUUUUUAAAAAAUUAGUAGAUCUAUCAAAAAAAAUUAAGCGAUAAAUUAUAUGGCGAAUAAAUUAAAUAAAUUUAAGUAUCAAUUAAUUUAAUUUAACUUUUAAUUUUAUCAGUAUUUUCAAUUUUCUAACGCAAAAAAAAAUUUUACAUUUGAUGUGCCUUAAAAUUUAUUUAUUGAGUCCGAUUUUGUUUCCCUAAUUUGGCAAAAGUUUCGCGGUGUGACAAAUUUUGAUAAAAUAAUUUGUGAAGAAAAAAUGGAUGUCGGUGGUGGAAGUGGAGAGAUUGGAUAUGUAAAUUAAAAAUUUGCCCUAUAUUGAUAAACAAAAAAAAUUAAAUUAUAAUUUUUUUGACUUGCCUAACAAAUAGAUUUUCGAUUUGCAAUAUUUUUUGGGGUUUGUAGGGUACCCAGAAUGCUUCGGGUACCCCAAAAAAUAAAACAAAAAGAAAAAAACAAAAAGCAAAAAAAAAAGCAAAUUUUUAUUUUUUUGCAUAUUGUCGGCACGGCAUUGUGCCGUGGCAUGCAUCGCCGUGCCGCUCUGUCUCGUGCGGCACGGCCCUGCGUGCUUGGGCAUAGAGGGGGGUCUGAGACCCUCCCUGUACCGUGCCCCUUUCUUGGUGGCACGGUACGUGCCGCACCGGCACGGUGCGGCACAGCCGGCACUUGAAUCCUUGAUCUAGAGCAUUUAAAACGUCUAGAAAUCAAAUUUUAUAAUUUUUCGACAUCAUUUACCUUACGAUCAAAAGGUCACAAAAUUGACAAUUUUUAACAGCCGGUAUGGGAUAUUUGCUAGUUUAACGGUGUAAAAUAAUCAAAAUCGGUUGAAUUUUUGGUAGAAAAUUCUAUUCACUACAUGGAUAAAGAUCAAUAACUCCGAUCUUAAAUUGAAGGAUCCGAUCAUCCAUUUUUAAGACGUCGUUCGAUUUUGACCGUUCAUUUUAUACCCACUUGAUGACCUUUAUUAUGAUUUUGAAAAAUUACGAAAUUUAUUUUCUAGAAGCUUCAAAUACUCUAGAUCAUAUUUAACGGAGUGGAUCGUCGAUUCGGAAACUCCAUCAUUGAAAACAACUUAUUAGUAUGAAGGGCUCUAUACUUAUAAGAGUAUAGUAGUCCUAGCCUAUAUAUGUGUGUGUGUGUGUGUGUGUGUGUGUGUGUGUGUGUGUGUGUGUGUGUGCAUAUAUAUGUAUGUAUGUGUGUGUGUGUGUGUGUGUGUGUGUGUGUUAGCCUACUAAGUAGGGUGAUUGACAAAGAGAACAUAUAAGAAGCAACGUGAGCAACUUUUUCUUAUAUUUUCUCUCUAAGAAAGAUAGUUAAUUAUGACUCAAUCUGAGAAACCAAAAUCUUAAAUUUUGAAAAUCGAAUUCAUACGUUAGAAAUUUUUCCUCUUAUAUAGCUUUGCAAGUUGUAAGAUUGUCUCAGUUCUCAAGUUGGGAAAAUAUCAAGAGUUUAUUUAUAGCUUUUUUAACUUUGGCUUUUCACCAAUUUUGUUUUAAUCCAAUGUGCUGAUUGGUUGUGUGAAGAGCCUUUUUUUUUUCCAUAUCCAUGACCUCAGCUUAAAUUUAUUUCCAAUAUUUUUGGGUCCCGUUUUCUAUUUCCUUUUUCAUUGUUGCUUAGCUCACAGAUUCUUUUGUGAUACAAAUUAGAAAUUAAAUGUCACUAAAAGCACAACAUUAUUUAGCACACGGCUAGAAGUGAGCUAGCUUUAUGUAUGUGAUGCCUACCAUGCCUAUAAUUAGGGGUGUGAACGAGCCGAACACUAGUAAGGUGGGGUUGGCUUGUGUUCGGCUCGUUUAUUAAAUAAGCAGAACACGAGCUGGCUUGUUAAAGUAUCGAGCCGAAAAAUUCAGCUCAUGUUCGGCUCAUUUAUUAACGAGCCGAACAAGAGCUGGCUCAUGAACAACAAGUUAAAAGAAUUAGAAAGGAUACAUAUAGGAAAUAAAUUUAUAAGAUCUUAUACAUUAAACUUUGAUUUAAUAGUUGAAACUUUACAUAUAAAUGAGCCUUUUUAUAAUUGAGUUGGGCUUUAUAUUUAGGUUGGCCUAAAAUUCAAAUAAUAAAAAUCUAUAUUAUAUUAUAUAUAAUUAUUUAUUUAUAUAUAAAUAUAAAAUAUAUAAAUUAUGUAAAUAUAAAAUAUAUGUAUUUGAGCUUUAAGCUGUCCAAAAUAUCCAAUAUCCCAUACCCGACCCGGACCCUACCUGGAUCCUACCCGGAUUCGAACCGGAUCUGAUAAAAAAUGGAUAGUAUAUGGGUAAAAAAAAUUACCCAUUAAAGUUUCGUAUGGGUCUGGAUAUUUUAUACCCAUACCCUACUUGGACCCGACCAGGACCAGACCCGGACCCGGACCCGACCUUUUAAUGGGUAGGCCGAAAGAGUUUUUUAAAUCUGGAUCCGGAUCUAGACCCUAACCUAGACCUGGUGAAAUACCUGAUAGUAAAUAAAAAAAUUUAAAGUUGAGGGAUCAAUUUCAAUACGACUUAUAGAUGAAGGGUCUCUGUGUAUUUACAUUCUAGUGAAAACCCUAGUCGUUUUGUUUACUCUUUUUUUUAAAAUUUUUUUAUUUACUCAUUAUUUUUUUAAUCCUAGUUGUUUACUGCUUGAAUCCUUUUUUUGAAUGACUUUUAUUGGACGAUGCAACUAAUGAGGCCGCGAGUUUUCUAUUGUGAGAGGUUUAUGAUUUCUCCAUAAACUGUUUAAUAAAGUCUAUAAAAAAUAUAUGCAUUUGGGUAUCCAUACCCGAUCUAAACCCGACCUGUUUUCGAUCCAUAUCCGAUCUUAAGCGGGUGGUAUACGGGUAGUCACUAUCCAAACCCGCUCACAUAAAUCCGAUGAGUAUAUUAUUAUCUUAAGUACCCAAAGCCAGACCCGAUCCGAAGUUAAAUGGUUAGGGUAUAUAUUUUUUUCUACCAAUUUCUUUUUAGGGUGCGGGUACAGUAUAUCAACUAUCCAGACCCGGCCCGGUCCACGGUCAAGCUGUUAUCGAGGCAAACACGAGCAGGCUGACUCCAACUCGUGUUCGGAUUGUUUAUUAAACGAGCUGAAAAAUUCAGCUCGUGUUCGGCUUGUUUACUAAACGAUCGAUUCGAUCUCGAGCUCAUUUCGAGCCGAACACGAGGUGACUCGCGAAUAGCGAGCUGAAUUGCCACCCCUACCUACAAUGCUAUUGCAAUGAUUUGGGUUGUCUAUGUUGUUUGUUUUUUUAUUUCUUAGCUGCUAAUAGCAUAAUUUGUUAACCUGGUAUUUGUUCUAAUUUAUUUGUCUGCACGAUACGCAUUGUUGAUAUGGACAAUAUUGAAAGAAAAAGUUUGAUCGCGUACCUUCUGUUGCAACAACUUCAUCUUGAAGUAUUGUAUUUAACUUUUAUGUAUAUUCUACUUGCAUACAUCAUGCUAAGAAGGCAUUAUAAGAGACAUGUCUUGAUGAAUAGGACAUGUAAGACGUGAAUCACAGUUAGAUUAUUUACAUAGCAUAAUGGUGGUGGCGAUCAAACUUGUAUUGAUCAAAUAAGAAUGAAUAUAACAUUAAAACUUAAAAAAUUAUUGAAACUUGAGGGCUUGAAAUGUAACAUUCUUAAAACACCAUGGCAUGUGCUGAUUUAAAAUUUUGAGGAUCAAUAUAAAGUUUAAUCUAACGAUUAGGGGACUAGUAAUGCAAUUUACCUAGAUUUUAAUUUAACGAACUAUAAUAAUUCAAAGAGGUUGCUAUCAAAUUAAAAGGGUGUAAAAAAAGAAAAAAAGAAGAGUAGGUGUAGCGAUGCAAAUGAAUCUAGAGCAGAAACUACGAUGUUUUCAUGAUUCGCGACGAAUUUGGAGUAGGAGGUAGAGCAAAAAGUGUUCCACCCCGAAUUCGCUCCGUUAAGAUAUGCCAUGAAUAGGGAUGUUAACUGGUUCGACUUGUGGUGGGUUUUCAAAAACCCGUACUGUAACCUGAACUCGACUCAACUAUCAAACUCGAAACCUGAACCCAAUUCUAAGACCGCUAGGUUAUGAAAAUCCAUAUCCAAAUCUAAAUCCGGCAAAAAGACUGAAACCCAUAACAGAACUCGAAAACCUACCGACCUUUCCUAGUACAAGUGGCAAAGGGCUUGGUGGUUGGUACAUGAGGUCCUAAGUUCGAAUCCUAGUUGAUUCACAUUUCCAGCUAAGUUUAUUUCUAAAUGAAAUAAACAAAGCGGGUAGCAUGCUACCUCUCUCUCUCUCUCUCAAAAAAAAAAAAAAAAAAAAAGGAACUCGAAAACCUGGACCCGAAAAUCCAAACUCGAAUGAAAUCAUUUUUCUUUACCAAAUUUCGAAAUAUAUCAUACUCAAAUCUAAAUUUUCAAAGGUUCAGGAUCGGUAUGGUUUCGGGAUCGGUUAGGAUUUUGGUUCGGGUUCAUAUACUAUUUGAGCUCGGGUUGGAUACAUAUAAAAAUUAUACCCGAAUCUGAAUCCAUCGAGUUUUUAUUUUUUGUACUCGAAAACCAUAUCUAUUUAGCAUUGGUUAAGUCCGUGCCUGUCAACAUUCCUAGCCCUGUAUCUACCUUGUCAAAAUCUGCCUGAAAUCUGGUUAUGUAAUUAACUUAUUUACAAAAAACCUAUUCAUUGUCAAAAACCCUAACCACAAUUUUUUCUCCCCACUUCCACCUCCAAAGUUGCUGUCUCUCUCUCUCUCUCUCUCUCUCUCUCUCUCUCUCUCUCUCUCUCUGCACGCGUGUGUGUAUAGUACAAAUUCGUAGAUUUUAAUUCUAAUAGAAUUCUUUCUUUUUCUAUAUGGAUUUGGAGUCGAAUUUUAAGUAGGAAACAAAAAUAGAUAUAAGUGGGUGGGUAAACCUAUCAUAUGAUAUGAGAUUCCCUACCCCUAAAACCACCACUGGCCCUGAUGCAAUACCACCUUCUCCGCUGCGAUUCCCUGGUACUUUUUUUUUCAAGUUUUUUUAACAUCAGUUGACGAUAUUUGGUUUAUUUCCUAUUUGUUUCCUGGGGAUUAACAUAUAAGUUCAUCCAUCGAGAUGUGUUUCUUCAGUUACCUUUUUCAGUGAACAAUGUGGAGCUUAGAAAAUUUCCUAAUAACUAGCAUCUGUUUUAGUUCUUUUCUGUGGAGCAUCAUGAGUAGCAGUUUGCAAAUUACGUGAAUUGAUUUUAGUUUCAAAAUCUUUUGUUUCGAAUGAAUGGUGUGGGCUGGAUUAUGUAAAAAGGGCACUUCUUUGAUAGAUUUUUAUUAUGUAUGCAAGAACAAAUUCUAUUACAUAUGUGGCCAAUGGGCGUUUCCUUCUUCUAAUGGCUAUAUUUCAGCUCUCGACGCCAAGUCUAGGAGGAGAGUCAUUCAUAUUGAAAGAUUGUAACGUGUAACGGCUAUACACAGUAGAUCAAUUCUGCAGAGAUAUUUCUUCUUGCAGUUUUAUUCCCAUAUAUUUGGGGCCUUCGAAGGGAGAUAGAGACUGCAAAGAGUAGGUGGAUCCGAAUGGCAGAGUAUCUGCUUAGCAUGGGCAUCCUCAUAGACAUUGUGGACGAGGAGUGGAUGCGAGACACCCUCCCCUGUGACGGUCUGACCCCUAUUUCUUGUUAAUCGCACAUCCCAAACCUUGGCUUAGUCAGUUAGUGCCAUUCUAGCUACUCUUUAGUUCUAUGGCAAAAGGCUAACUUUUUUUUCCCCCCUUUUAUCUUUUGGGUUUCAGAGAUCCCGCUUCCGUCUACAAUGGCUGCACGAACCGACGACGCUGAGGAAACGAGUACGCCUCUUUACAAGAUGAAUGUUCUUACAUUAUUUCCAAGCGUGUUAAACAUUGUUCUUGGAUCUUGUCUCUUCACCGUUGAAGUCUGACGAUUUAUUGCUGUAAAUCAAUUUAUUUUCAUAAAUCAAUCUAUUCUAUUAAGAAACUUGAACUCUGACAAUUUAUUGGUUGGAAUUAUUGUGAUAGUCAAAGAUUGGUAAAAUUAUUGUUGUUAUAAUUCUCAGGCAGAAACCUUCUAAAAAUGCUAGUAUCUCUGUUCUUGUGUCUAAGUUUAAUUUUUGUGGUUAUAAACUUGCGGUUUAGUCUUCUUUGAUUUUGCAUGACACUAUUUAUAAUUAUUGUGUCUCAUAUUCUCAUCCUGAUAUUCUAGGAAUGUAUCAAGUGGUAUCCAAGCAAGUUACUUUUUUUGUUAGUUGGUCUUAUCAUGCUCUAGAUGCAUAUUAUCUUAUCUUUGUCAAAUGUAUUAUGCACUUCAUUGAGUCCCUGUUACUCUACUACUGAUUCAUAUCUUCCGUUCAGUGAUUAACGUCAUACUAUAGGUUUUGUUUUUCCCGUGUUAGUAGUGCUUUAAGGCUUUAAGGAUCUAUGGCCAUAUCCGUUAUUUCCUGAUCUGAAAAAUAAAUGCCUUAUUACCUUCUAUUUCAGUUUACUUAAUAUCCCUAAGGGAAUGAUUCAGAAGAGACUGACGAAGUGACAACAUGUGUUACUAAAAUGUUAGGCCAAUUUUAUGGUUUUGGUUAAAUUAUUGUCGCUUUUCAUGUGUGUCUGUAUGAGUGAUAGCCUUUGUGGCAUGCCAUAUGUACACAUAAUCCUUCUCAGGCAAAUAGAGUUCAAGGAGGUAUUGAAAUUGACCUUCAACAUGUUAGAAUUUUUAAAGGGUCCAUUAACACCAAUUUAAUGGCUGUAGGUUUGUUUAUAGUUGAGAAUUAAGAUUGAUGUAGAGAAUUGAUGGUUGGUUGCUCUUGAGUUGUAUGGGAGUUGACUCAAUGCAGUGGAUUAAUUUCGUGAACUAAAUCAAUGCCACCUAUUUUCGUGAACUAAGUCAAUGCCGCCACCUACUAAGGGAACAAAUCCAAUAGUCUAAACUUGAAAGGUCAUGCAAUAGUACCAUGGAAACAAUUGCUUUGAGGUGCUUGAUGUUUUGCAGUUGUAAUAACAGAUUGUUAUGCUUAAUCAUUAUUUGCAAAAACAUUUUCAGUACCUAAUCAUGGUCAUCAAGUCUCUUUACUAAAUUUCUUUCUACCAUCAGAUCAGGAAAGUCAACUGGUGGAGGGAGAUGGCUGGCGUGAUCUUGGACUAGAUAAUAUCUGAAGCUCUUACUUCAUGCAAGGUAUGAUCUGUUUUUCUCAUCUCAGUGGCCAUCACUUAAUAUCCUUUUAUUUGACCAUCUCUGAUCUUAUCUUAGUCAACAUAGUUUGAUCUGAUAUUCUAUUUCUUUUUAUGUCAUCUCAGUCCACACAAUACACAUGCACAACAAAAUGAUCUCAUGCUUUUUUAUCAUUAUCGGGCUUAAAGCAAGUUAAGCAUGGUAAAUGUAACAGCUGAAUUUAUAGUUUUUGUGACAGAAGUCAAAUGUUGUAAUAAAAUUAUGGUAAAAAUUUAUAGAAUUUGCCUAAACUAUGGACUAUUUUGAUUUGACUACUCAACCUUUUAAAAUUUUGAUUUUGUUAUCUAACCUUUCAAUUUGUUUGAUUUGAGUCAGUCAACAGUAGUUUUACUUCAAAAUUUAAAUGCUUCAUUUAUCUUUAUAGGUUUUGUUUGUAUGCUUCAUUUAAUUCUCGCAACCAUAAAUUUUUUAAAGUAAUUAGCUUAAAUUUUGAAGUCAAAGUACCAUUGACUAAUUCAAAUCAAAUAAAUUGAAAGGUUGGGUAGUAUAACCAAAAUUUUGAAAGGUUGGCCGAUUCAAAAUGGUCCAUAGUUUAGAUAAGUUCUGUAUGUUUUUACUCAAAAUUAUUGUAAUCCUAACUGAAACUUUAGCUGUUAAGCAAUUCCAUCAAUAUCUUGUCCUAUGUAAGAACACUAUAAUGUCUUCUCUUGUUUGCUUUUGUUGUUAUUAUGAGUUAAAAUUUAUAAAUAUACUUAGGUUGCCACGUGAUUGGCAGAACACUACAAAGUUAAGAAUAAGUAAGCUAGGAGGAAAAUCAAGAACGUCAAGUAUGCAUGAUUUAGAAUAUACAUCAAAAUAUGCCUUAGUUUAAUAAAGCAACUGCAAAUUGUUUCAUGUCGAAGGCUUACUCAUGCGUUCCACACCUGUCCUCCUUUUUGUGGUGAUUGCUGUGUAGCAAGAAUCUUGUACAUGAAUUAGAAAUCCCAGAGCAAUAUCUACUAUUGCUAGAGCAAAAGGCGUCAAAACAUGUUUAAGUAUAAUGUAUAUCCUCUAGCAAUAGUAGAUAUUGUUUUAGCAAUAUCAUUUCCCUAAUUUGAAAUCCCAAAGCUUGGUAACUAAAUAUCGAUGCUGCAUCUCACAUAUUAGAUACUAAUCAUCAGGCUUCUUUCAGUUGAACAUGAUGAACAGAAGCUUAAAUUACAGUUCUUGUUUUCUGACAGGCCUUUCCUUUGCACAUAUUUCUGGUCUUGGAUCUAUGUUGUGUGGAAUCUGAAUAAUGGUUGUACAAAUGAGAUUCACGCCAAACUGAUGAAUAUUAUCUCGAGAUUCUCGAUGAAGUCAAACUCAUGAAAUGGCAUUUGAUAAGCCUUUGAACAUUGCAAUUUAUAUCAUCUGAUUAAUUAUGUGCAGAAUUUGAUUCAAGGUUGUCAUGUUUGUUUAAAGUGAGUAUCACUUUGUUAUUUUUCAUCUGUUCUCUCUUUGACUUAAUUACUGUUGGAUCUUGUAGUGGCUUCUGCAUGUGCUUUAUUUUUUUUACCCUUUCUGAAACACUCCUCAUGCUUAAAUAGUUAUAUACUAAUAUCCGAUGAAGAUUGCAUAUCAUAUUGUAGGAAACCAGUAUAUUUGAUCGUUUCAUAGUAAUAGGCAAAAAAAAAAGAGAAGCUUUAUUAUGCCUUCAAACAUCAUUUUUAGUCACUCGGCAACCAAAUUUGUUGCUAGAUUUAGUCUGAUAUUUAUGAUUUUCUUCCAUCGUGAAGGUUGUGAACAUGGUUAGUGAUCACUUUGUUCAUUCUAAUGAUGUGACUUUUGAUGUACACCUGGAGAAUGACGAGAAUUUUGGCGACUGGCUAUAAGCCUGUAAUGGAGUAAAACAUGGUUUAAAUAUCUCUUCUAAAUGCUUGAUUGUCCUGUUAAUUUCUGCAUUUAAGAAUGGCAGGAGUUUUCUUUUAAUGCUAGAGAUGAUGUUGACAUUUUAAUUUCCUGGGAAGGUGAAAUGCUGUCAUGCUGCAGAUUCAUCUCACUCGGAUCUAAGACAAACCAGCUGGUCGCAUGUUAUCUCUUAACACAAACAUGAAAGGCCUAAGGGCAUGUUUGGUUCGGGUUAUCCUGGCAGAAUUAUAGGUAAUUAUGUCGGGAUUAUUAUGUUUGGUUUAUCGUCUGUAAUCUGGUGGGUAAUAUAGCAUUACAAAUGAUGUAGGAUUAUAUCGAAAAUAUUACCAAGCAAGAGGUGGGUAUCUCAUAUUACUAGUGAUGGUUGAAUGGUCUCCCGCCGGUUGCUACGCCGGUAUAUUCUCAAGCGGCGAAGCCUAGUUUUAUCGUAUGUUGAUCACCGAGAACAAACCCUGGGGGAUGGUGAUCAACUCAACUUCGAGUUGCCAACUCCCGUUGGCAUGCAUGAAGCAACCUAUACUGUGGCUCCAUAUCAAGAGGGAAUGGAGCAGGGAAGGUUGCUUCUCCAACGGCCACGUAGGGGGAUACGUGGUCUAUUCCCAGAGGUAGGUUCAAGUUCAGUUUUGAACCUACCGAAGGCGCUUAAAGCGUGUAAGCGCAUAUUACUUAAAAUUACUAAGUUUAUCUCUCCAACCCCUAAAUUCUUUUAAUACGCUAUUUUUAAAAUUUUAAUUUAAAAUUUUGGAGAGUUAAAAUUUAAAUUUUAAAAUUUUAAUUUUAAUUUUUAUUUUAAAUUUUUAAAUUUUAAAUUUUAGAUUUAAAAUUUAAAAUUAAAAUUCAAAUUCAAAUUUUACAUUAUUAUUUAGAAUAAAAUUUAGUAAAAAAAUUUAUUAUUUGUAAAUAGUAAAAAAUUUUGCUAAAUAUGACUUAAUAUAAGGGCAAUUUUAAAAUAGGCUAUUUUAUUGUCAAGAUUACUGAAUUUUAUAAAGUAAAUUAAUCAUAGUAAUUCUAUAUACACCGUAAUUCAAUAUUAUAUUACUGUAUUAAACCAACAUAAUAAUGCAGGGGGCUUUUUUUUGCAAAUAGCCCCCUGACAAAUUUUAUUUGCAAAUAUAGCUCCGUCCAAAAAUUAUUUGCAAAAAUGGCCCUGGCUUUGCCACGCCAGCGCCACGUCAGCGCCACGCGGGCAGAGCUGCGCCAGGUGGUUAAGUUGAACACGGUAAACCAUUCAUUGUGUUCAAACACGGUGAAUAGUUCACCGUGUUCAUUGUAUUACUUGCCCCGCUUGAGGGGGUGAAUAAUACAUUAGACACAGUGAUUGGUUCACCGUGUUUAGACACGGUGAACUGUUCACCACGUUUAGACACGGUGAAUUAAUCACCGUGUCCUUUACAUCCAUAACGACCUUGGCCAAAUACGGCUUAGGUGUGGCUAGUUGUAUUGGACACGGUGAAUGGUUCACCGUGUCCAAUUCAGUUAGUUCAGGGUUUAGGGUUUAGCUAUUACCAAGACUUAGCCAUUUUCGGGGUAUAGGGUGGCGUAUGUUGUAUUGGACACGGUGAAUGGAUCACCGUGUCCAAUACCUCAGCAAAAUUUUUGCCGCACAAAAAUCAAUACAAGAUUCAAUACAAGAAUACAAUACAGAUACCUAUCAAUACACAUCACAACACAUCACAACACAUCACAACAUCACAACAUCACAAAAUUAAUACACAUUACAACAUCACAACCAAUAGAAUCUCAAUAAAUUAUCAAUACCAAAUAAUCAAAACAGAAUAUAUAAAAUAAAUGCAAGUUAUACAAUAAUAUAUAAAUAUAAUAUCAUGUUCUCCUCCCUCGACUCUCUCGACCACGUCGCCUACCACGUCCGCGACCACGACCACGACCAACAUCAUGCUCAUCAAAAGGCUCCAAGAUCUCCAACUGGUCUAGAUGUUCUAUAGCAGCACCCUCAAUAACCGGCUCAAUCACAGCAGUAGCAUGUGUCGGUAGUAUGUCUGAUCGUGGAGAAGCUGAAGAGGAGGGCUGAUCUGUACGGAUAGACCUCAUAUGUCGUCGACGCCUAAAAUAAACAAUAUCACCUGCUCGAGCUGGAUCUUGCGGUACUUGUGCUGGUGCCGGGUCCGUAACAUCAGCAUAAAGUGGCUUCUCUAUAGGUGAUGAUGGCCUCGGUGGACUAUAUACGGGUGCAUGGCCGGACGUCGAUGCUCCACCAUAGUCUGCUGGUCCUGGAGGUACAUAGUGUGGAAGCGUAGGUAAAGUCUCCAGAACUGCCUCCAUCUGAUCGGCGACCUGUGAUAGGGUAGCUAAGACUCCACCUCCUGAAAUAACGGACAGGACACGUCUGAUCGUAUAAUAUGAUCUCUGCACGAUAUCGACCUGAAAUAAAAGCACAAUAAAAAAAUAUUAUACGAAACUUUCUUGUAUAUAUAAAAAUUAAUAUAAAAAGAUAUAAUAUAUUACAAUCAUACCAAUACUCUCUCAACGUGCCACGUGGCUGAUACGCGAGUGGUGGCCGCUAUACAGGUGUAGAUAUCCACCUCCUGGUGAUCGUCCAAUACCACUGCAUGUAAACAACGGUAGCUCGUAUCGGAUCUGGAUCUGUCUCUGGGGCCACCUCUGCUAUAUCUAUCAAUCUAUCAUUCCAACGCUGAAUGUAUGAAUCAUGGUAUGCCGCCCAAUCCUCAUCUGCUCUGCCUCGUGAAUUGAUGCGAGGUAUGACAAGCACUGCAUCAGGUAUAUGCAGUAAUAGCCUAAACUGUCGCAGCACACGAUCGGGAUGAUGGAGCUUAAUAAUGUAGAAGCAGACUAAGAUAGUCCUCGAUCGCCAAACCUGGGACCCGGCAAGAUAAAAAGGUGGAAGCGUCUCUAAAACUGUGUCGUCAUAAGGCCUCCAUGUAAUCUAUUGUGAAAAAUAUAUAUGAUUAGUUAUCAAAAUUAAACUAUAUUGCAACUUGUGUUUCGAAGAAAAAUUAAACUAUAUUGAUCUCGUUUUUUGGCGCUACAUUGUAAAUGAACUACUUGCGCUGCUUGAUAAAUGACUACAGCUUAAGUCAUGAGGGGUAUCAUUUAAUUAAUAAUCAGAGUGAGUUCUCGACGCUUGUUGAACGGCAAUGCUGAUAUAUGUAACUAUUGUAGUUAAGCCUUGAUACAACCUUUAGUAUUCCUUACGGUUUAUUGAUUUCUACAAAGUAUAAUGUACGGCUUCAUACGAAGAGACUGUGCAGGUACAUAUAUUGUCAAGUAUAGGUAUUAGCAUAGUUGAAGCUUAUGUUUGUUUACAAUCUUAGAUGUACUACUUUAUGUGUCCAUAGUCCAGUUAAUACUUAAUACUUGUGGAAAAUGUCAAUUCAGGCCUCACCUCUCGAAAAUGUCACUGACCGCUAUAUUUUAUGCUCUAUUAUCUUUACUAGGUUUUAUGCUCUAUUAUCUUUUCAUACAAACAACUAAUUUCUUUUAUGGUGAACAAAAUUUUCAAACUAAAACAAAAUUUCAAUCCCAAAAACUUAGAAUUAAAUACAAAAUUCGACAGAUUGAGUAACUUUUAUUUACCUGAGACUCUAAUUGCUGAUCCAGCUGAUCACGAUAAAACUCAAUGUCAGUAGUCCUGACAUUGUCCCGAAAAGCCAGCCUGGUAUUCCACCUGAUUCAUGUAUAUCAUAUUAGUUAUGAAUAAAUAGUAUAUACAAAACUUAAAAUGAAAAAUUACUUACCGACACCCUAGAGGCAUGUCGACAAGCUCAAGCUGCGGUCCUACUACCUCAGAGCGGCCAAUGUGCAGGUGGUCCCAUGCCCAUAUCUAUACAAAAAUAACAUUCUUGUUAGAAAUGGAAACAAUAACCAUGACUUAAGUAGAAGUAUUGUAAGGGUCCAUGUCGCAAAUUGUACCUGAACUAAUGUCCAAAAACAACAACACUCGACCUUUCCCCUGAGGCAAGCAUUUCCUAGGGCGCGAUAAAGAUGAGCUAGCGCGGCUGCACCCCAUGCCAACCCACCACAAAGGUCAAAAUCAUCUAGAUGUGGCAACCAUUUCAAAUGCACCCUAUUCCCGCUUGGAUUUGGAAACAAAUUACAUUCUAUCUGAAAUAGUAUAUAUGCUCUCGUCGUAGCUCUAACAAUAGCGGGAGGUGCGUCUAAGGGGAUAUCAUGAAACUGCUGAUAUAACCAGUUUAUCUUGAUCUCACCACCCCUAAUAUCCUGCGGAACCACCCCGAGAAGGAACCCGCAGAGUUUUGCCCACUGAUAGGAUCCCCCUCCAGUCACAGCCUCACCAUCGACGGGGAGUCCCGUAAUAACUGCGACGUCCAUCAAUGAAAUACUCAUCUCUCCAUGUCGCAAAUAGAAACUCUGUGUCUCCCGCCGCCACCUCUCGACUAAUGCUCCCAAUAAUGACUGAUCGAGCUGUAGGCGGCGCAAUCGUGAAACGUAAUAAAAUCCUGCUCGUCGCAAUAAGUCCAACACCGCAGGAUGCUCGCACUGCCAUCUGUUCAUUUUACGGCCAUGCUCCGUAAAUUGAACAGGAGAAUAUCCCUGCAUGAUUGUGAAAGCCAGCUCAAAAUUAGUACAUAAGUUAAAGAAGAUCUAGGUAAAUUUGAAAUGUUUUAAAAAAAUUUACCUCCUCUCUGAUCAAAGUAGAUCUAUGUCGUGGCUGCUCAGUCAACACGGAUGUAUUAAUAGGUCCCGGCUCGUCAUGAUCGUCCAUCUGAAAUUGGCAAAAAAAAAAACUGAGUUAGAAACAACAUGAUGUAACAUUAGUGCGUAAGUAUAAAAGAUUAAAGAAGUUAAGUGUCAUAUUCAUAUAGAAAAACCUAUCGACGACGCCUCUCGGUUCUUCUUUGCUGAUUUUCAGGACAAGUGCUUUUAUAAUGUCCAGGCUGUUUACACAUACUACACUUGCCCCUCCUAUUCCCACUGGCUUCGUCCAUAACAUUACGGAUACGCGUAGAUCUGGGUCGUCCCUUUUUUCUUCUCCCGCGUGGUGGCACUAUAAGGAAAUCAUAUGACGCGAUCCAAUAACGACGAUCGGGUACGGGGUAGAAUUGCGGUUCAUAAGCCUUACAAUAUGAUGCGACAGUAUACCAAGGAGAACAUAAGUCAUAAUAAUCUAUGUUCAUGUGUGAUGAACUACAACAUGACAAAAUGUGUGAACAAGGGAUUCCUGUGAGUUGCAAACACAAACAUGAACAUGUAGAACUGCUUCCAUUGAUAGUCACUUGGUAUUGAUCAUCCCCGCCAAUAAGUAUGUUGAACAUAUGAAAUGCAAAUCGUUGAACGGUAUAUCCUCUCGCACUUCUCAUCCGGCUAUUGAUGGUUUUUUCAACAGUCGUGACAAACUGCGUGGACAUUGCAGCGCCUUCUGUCCGAUGUUUUAGAAAAAAUUCAACCACUCGAUGAAAUGUUGCCAUCACAAAAGCUGUAAUUGGUAAGGCGCGAACUCCCCUCAACACCCCAUUUAAACUUUCCGAUCGGUUAGUUGUCAUAAUACCAAAUCGUCGACCACCAUCAAAAGCUUUAGCCCAGUAUGUCCUAUCGUUAUGAAGAUUGUCAACCCAACGCCAAGCUUCUUCAUCCAUAGCCUUCAAUUCUUCCUUUAAUGCGUAAUAUUGCCGUUCUUCUGAAGCACUCCCAAUUCGAUAAAAAAUUUUAAGUAAGUGUUUUCCUUUGAAAUGAAUAUUCAUAUUGGCCUUCAUAUGUCGUAAACACCAUCGAUGAGCAUGACCUUCAGAUGGUGGGAAUACAAGUGCAACGAGGUUCGCUAGGUCUUUAAAACGAUAUGAAAUUAGUGUAAUAACUCGAGAUCUUGUUAUAUACCUUCUUAGGCAACUUAAAAAUCACUCUCAACUCGAGCCAUUCUCCCCCUCACAAAUUGCGAAAGCUAGCGAAAAUAAACCACCAUUGGCAUCGACACCUGUGGCAAUUAAUGCGUGAUUUCCGUAUUUUCCAUACAGAUGAGUAGCAUCGAUACUAAGUAAUGGCCGGCAAUACUCCCAACUAUGAAUCGAUGGUCCAAAAGCCCAAAAGGCUCGUGAAAAUAUUCUCGUAUUGCUCGCCACACUAAUAUAAUCAAUCUUUGUAAUAGUUCCUGGAUUUGUUGAUUCCAACAUAGAGAAGUAUCGAGGAAGGUCGCAGUAUGAUUGCUCCCAACUGCCGUAUAUAAUUUGUAGUGCUUUAUUCUGUGCCCGCCAAGCCUUGCUAUAUGAUAUGCUAACGUGUAACUCGCUCUGAACUCGGGCUUGAAUUUUCAUAGGACUCAUUGUAAGUCUUGCCUUCAGUGUAGGUAGUAUAAAUUGACAUAUGAAAGAUGAUGUACAGUUUCGAUGUCUUGUCUUUAGAAUUGGAACUAAACAAGUGUGCGGACCUUUAUAAGUCUUUACUUUAAAAAAUGAACUACCUUUCGUCCGAGAGGCAUGUAAUCUCCAUGGGCAAGAAUCGACUACAUAUCUCACAGUAUAUCUAGUUGUAUUUGACUUAACAACUUUAAGCUGCACAUUAUGUGCAAUGUGCCAAAUGUCCGAAGCCCUUAUUAGCGAUGAUUUAUCAGAAAAAGUCCGAUUAGCCCAUGCUUCAUCACUUGGAGGACCCUGAUCAAUAUUUUGUUCACUAUAUGCAUCAACAACGCUUUGAUUAAUUAAUUCAUUACCCAGGAUAAACCGUUGUCUUUGAUCUUCAAAUUCCACGAAUUCCACCGGGUCCGGUACAUCUUCGUUGUUGACAUUUGAGUUUUCAAUCCAUUCAACACCUUCAUCUCGAAUGGCGUAUGCGAGGGCAUUCAAGCCACCGUCAUGAUCAGGAUCCAAAGAACACGCAACAAAGGAUUCCUCGUCAUCACUAGAAUCAGCAUCAAUUCGCCCUUGAUCCUCUUCAUCAGUUUCACUAACAUACUCCUCAUCACUUCUACUUACGUCCAAUAGAUCAGUUGUAGUCACUCCCCGAUUAGUCCAUUCACGAUGAGUAGAUGAUGGACCUUCAUUUUAAUAAGGAGGGUUAGUAUUUCUUAUUUCCCAAGCCGGCCAUUCAUGAACACUAGAUGAUCCUGGACCUUCAUCUAAUAAAGGAGGGGUAGUAUUCUAUUCCCAAGCCGGCCAUUCUAGACACUAGAUGAUCCUGGACCUUCAUCUACAUAAAGAGGGCUAGUAGUAUUUUUAUUCCCAAGCGGCCAUUGAUGAACACCAUUGUAUGGACCUUCAUUUGAUUAGGAGAUAGUGGUUCUGACUUCCCAAUCCGUCUAUUCUAUGAACAUAAUGAUGUGUCGUGGACUUUGAUAAGGAGGACAGUAGACCUUGUAGAGAUAUAUAAGAUUAACUAUUCACAUUGAUUUUUUAUGUAACUAAAUCAUACAAUCACCUACCACUCAUUUUGAUCAACAACGGAGACGGAUCAUCACAGCAGAUGCAAUGCUGCACUAACUGGCUGAGAUGGGACUCCAAACUCUCUGGAAUACUUACAGACAAAAUUAUUAAUUUCGCGCCCUAAACUAAUUGAGAAAUAUGAAAAAGAUUUAUAAAGAUCAUUACUUUAUACCUUGAUGUACGACUCGUUCGCGAUCAACGUAAUUCCUUUGAUCAUUGCUGCGUACGACGCAUUUUCGUUGAUAAACGGUAUUUGGACGGUCGCCUGUGCGUCGACCCAUCUUUUCCACGUAUAAUUUUAUCAUCCAUGGAACGGAAAAAUAUCAUCACGCCAGAUUAGUGUUAUGUCAUUUGAUACGUUAACAAAUUCCCAUUUGUCUCCCAUUGGACAUUUCAUCGUGAUCGUAGACGUCUGUCCACUCGAUCAUAAUUAGUAACAUUGUAUAUUUCCAUCUCUAAAUCUCGAAAUGGAGUAUGCCGUCGGACGCCAACCAAUUCUUUACGGCCACCAAUAUAUCGUGGUACAUUAUUGUUCUCCGAUUAAAAUUUCGUCCCAAUGGAUAUAGAAAGAGAACAAUGUCGCCAGUAUAGAGUUCAAGUAAUAUAUUAACUGUAAAAAAUUAUUAAACUCAACAUAUCACAUUUUUAAAACAACAAAAGAGGGGUAAAAGGAUGGUAUUACCAUUGUACAAGCCACGGUCGCGCGGACUACUUUGCCAAUUAAGAACGCGCAGGAAUGAUCUGUGACAAAGAUGACCGAGAACAAUCAGUUAAAGGGGGAGGGGGGCUUGCGAGUGGAAGGCUUCUCACAGUGAGAAGCCUCACACAGUGAGAAGCCACUGUAGGGGGGGGCAGUGGGAAGGCUUCUCACUGUGAGAAGCUAUGGAGUCGUCUCACGGAGGGAGGUGGGGGCUUCUCACUGUGAGAAGCCUCACAGUGGCUUCUCACUGUGAGAAGCCACUGUGAGAGUGCGGGAGGGGAAAGGGGUUCUCACAGUGGCUUCUCAGUUGUGAAGCCACUGUGAGAGUGCUUGGUAGGGGGGGGCAAUUCUCACUGAGAACCACUGUGAGUGGUGGUGGUGGUGUGGGGGGGGUUUCACUGUGAGAACAACUGUGGGGGAGGGGGGGGGGGGUUCUCGCUGUGAGAGUGUUGGGGGGGGCUUCUCACUGUGAGAAGCCUUCUCACAGUUGUUGGGGGCGGGGGAGGGACGGGGGGCUUCUCACUGUGAGAAGCCCUCAAGAGGCGGUGAGGGGGCGGCGGCUGUGUGGGCACACAGGAGGCGAGAGAGAGAGAGAGAGAGAGAGAGAGAGAUGCUUCUAGGGCUAGAGAGAGAACGAGGAAGGGAGCUACCUCGGGCAAUAAAGGGCGGCGGUGGCGGCGUCGGUCAGAGAGAGAGAGCAAGAGGAAGAGAGCGAGAGAGAGAGAUCGAGAGAGAGAGAGAGAGAGAGAGAUCGAGAUAGACAGAGUUCGGGGGGUGGGGGGAAGAAGGUUAUUCAAAGAGAACACGGUGAAUGGUUCACCGUGUCUGGACUAUACUGAACACGGUGAACCAUUCACUGUGUCAAAUAGAGACAACCUACCCGCAAGAGGCUAUGUCGCUGGUAUUUAUAUUGGACACGGCGAACAGUUCACCGCGUUUAGACACGGUGAACAGUUCACCGUGUCCAGUAGAAAUAACACCCCGACUAUUUCUAUUGAACACGGUGAUUGGUUCACCGUGUUUAGACACGGUGAACAGUUCACCGUGUUCAACUUGAACACGGUGAUUAGUUCACCAUGUCUAAACACGGUGAACCAAUCAUCGUGUUCAACUUAACCACCUGGCACAGCCCUGCCCGCGUGGCGCUGACGUGGCGCUGGCGUGGCAGGGCCAGGGCCAUUUUUGCAAAUAAUAUUUGGACGGGGCUAUUUUUGCAAAUAAAAUUUGUCACGGGGCUAUUUGCGAAAAAAGCCCUAAUGCAGGAUUAGUAGUAAUCUGAUUCAGAAAUUUCAGCUAUCUUGUUAUGUCGAAAUAACCUGUAAUACUAUAUAACAUGAACCAAGUGCACCCUAAUAUUAUUCUCAAGCAUUCAGAGAUUAGAUUUACAAAUUUUAGUUCAGUGAAGCUAAUCAAAAUACUUAAACAAAUCGAGCAUACAACAUGGUUAUAGUUCACUAUUGUUAUUGGAAACUGAAGAAAUCAUGACAUUUCAUAAUCUUCAUCGAUGGAAGUUCACCAAAAGUUAAAACAGAAAAAUUAAAUUAAGUUGGUGCUCCAAAAAUUUAACUAUGGCGUGUUCUUUCCCUGACAUGUUCCCUCUUACCUGCCACUGUUGAACCUAAUAUUUUGAAUUAGUCCUCAAAAAAAUAGCAAAAAAAUAAUAAGAAAGAGAAUUUUAUUAGACUAAACUUUGAGUCGUAUUUGAAAUAUUGGAAAGUGAGGAGGCAUUCGUUGGGCUACGAUUUUAGCCAACAAGAUAUAUAUGUAAAAAAAAUAUAUGAAAGAGAUAUUUUUUUGGCCAGAGCUCUAGGUCCACCAAUAACUAAUUAGAAAAUGGGGCACGAAUAAAUAAUUAGGAAAUGGGGGUGGGGAUAUCCACGGAAGGAUACUUAGGGAGUGUUUGGUUCGGCCAUUUUUUAUCAUGGAAUCGGAAUCGGAAUGGACGAAUCCGUUUGUCCAUAUUUGGUACGUGGGAUUUCCAUUCCCAUUCCGAUUUCCAGAUGAAUGGGAAUCCCCUCAAUUACUCUUUUUUCAAUUUGGUCUAGGAGACCGGAUUGGAAAUUGAAUUCGGACAGAAUGAAUUUGUUCAGAUUAAAUAUAACUUUUUAAACUUAUUUUUUAAUUAAAACAUAAGUUUAAGUUAAAAAAUUAUAUUUAUUAAUUUAAAUUUUAAUAUGAUCUUAAAUCUAAUUUAAAUUUUAAAUAAAAUUUGAAUAAAAUUUUAAAUUUAAAUUUAAAAUUUUAUGCAAAUUUCAUUUAAAAUUUAAAUUAAAUUUAUGGAUCCAAAUUGAAAUUGAAAUUAUAAUUUUAAUUUUGAAUUUGAAUAAUCGAAAUUUAGUUUUAUAUUUUGAAUUAUCCGUUGAAUUUCAAAUUUUAAUUUUUUUAAAAAAUAUAUUUAAAAUUUUGACAUCAUUUUUAAAUUUUGACAUAAAUUUUUAAUAUUUAAUUUUCAGUUUGGAUUUAAAUAUAUUAUAAAAAUAAAAUUGACAUACUAAUUUGAUUACGUUUUUUAUAUCUAUCUUGAUCAAAUACCGAUAAUGGAAAUGGUUCAUUCCGAUUUCUAUUCAGGUGGCGAACUAAACAGAAUCAGGUAAUGAAUCAUUCCGAUUUCGUUUUCAACUUAUUUUUAUUCUUAUUCCGAUACCGAUUCAGAUUUCGAACCAAACGGAUCCUAAAAUUUUAUCAGAACUCAAACCGUAAUAGGGCGGGUUUAUUUGAUGCUAAUAAAUAGAUAUGGUUUGAAAUACGAAUAUAAGAAAUAAAAAUUCGACGAAUUCAGAUUCAGAUAUAAUUUUUGUCUAUACUCGACUCGAAUCUGAACAAAUUUUACAUUAUAUAAUAUUUAUGAAUGUUUGAUAUUAUAUUUGAAUCUGUAUUUUCGAACUUUAGAUUUUAAAUAAUAUGCUUUCAAAUAUGCUAAAGAAAUAUGAUAGUUUCGGGUUUUGGUUUUCAAAUUCAAAACUUGGGAUUCUAGUUAGAUUCGCUUUGGAUAUGGAUUUUAAAACCCCUCGGCUUCGAGUUCAGGUUCGGGUUUGGGUUUUAGUUUUGGUUGUCGGGUUUAGGUUCGGAUUUUUGGAAAUUGCCAUGAAUUCGAUCUUAUUGAUAUUUCUUAAUGGGGAAGUAUAUUUUGUGGUUGAUAAGACCAUAUUUGAAAUUAGAUAUUUUGGGCUUCCCAUCUUAAGCGUAAUUUUUGAAAUCAACUAAUUGGUUGAGAAAGAGAAAUGUUCACUACAACAAAAACGGUGUAUAACGACACUUUUAAAUGUCGGUACAGGUCAAAAAAAGUACUGUGGGUUAAAUUACCGAUACUUUUUAAAAGUGUUGCUAGAUGUGGGGUCACUAUAUGUCACGCCCUGAGACCGCUACCAAUUUGGUCCGGUUCGGGCGCGUCGAACAGACGCCGAACGGACAGUACCUCCCUUGUCUGCUCAAGGCUGAAGCACGGGAUCAUGUACAAGAAUUCGCCCAGAAACAAUUCAACACAUACGUGAUCCAUACAACGACAAUAGAAGCACUACAAGUGCUUAACAAUAAGAGCAAGUAACAUAAGUAUACAUACAAGUGCAAAAAGAGAGAAUUCUAUCUAUUACAUCACAUUCAUCCACAAUUUACACUUUGUUUCAUCCAAAAUAUAGGUACAAGCUUAUUCACAUCUUUCCAAAAGGUAUCUUACAACCUAUACAUCUACUCUCAUACAUGUAGGUAUCUCUAAUGCAGUAGGAGAGCUACUAAUGCUAGGGCGCUAAGCCCUUACCGUGAUCCUCGUCCGGAGCGCUCGUACUCGGCCCUGCAACAAAGUGGGGUGAAAACUAUUGUCCAUAGUUCCCAGUAGGUUCGGCCGCCGACUCCGCCGAUCUCCCCACUAGGUCCAAGUGGGCACAAGCAGAUAGAUAGAUAGAUAUGUGAAAACAAUAACGACAUAGUAAGAAAGAUAUGCUACUAUGCCCAAAUCAUAUGCAAUGUAUGCAUGCACAAUGUGAUAGGCAAUCAACUAACAUGCCACUAUGUCCAAGAAGUAAUGCUAUUUACUUGUUCAUCAAUUCUCUUGACUUAUCCAAUUCUUGGCCAACCCUGAGGUUCGCCCACGACUCACAUGCAUCUCGUGGGUAAGGAGACUCAACUCGCUCAGCAAACCCGAGACCGUCUGCGGGACCCCAUAAGGCUAUCCCUCGUGUGACAAACUCCGGAGCGCACGCUUGUGUGGACCGUCCACCACAAGCUCUGAACAGACAGUGAAUAUGAUCCAAUCCUCUCAACUCGAGGAUACCCUAUCCACUAGGGCUAACAGUCACUCGGGAAUCCACCUAUCCCAAUGUCCAUAUGCAAGUGUUUAACUACACUAAGUUCUUGUUCAAUGACUCAUCUCUAGGGAAUCCGCCUAUCCCAAAGUUCACAUGUCAAAUGUCACCUUGCACUAAGUUAUAUGCCACUCGUUAUGUUGUUAUUGUUAUUUAUAUGCCACUCGUUAUGUCUUUAUCAAUCAUCGAGUCCAUCUUUUAUCUUAGCGCUAUAAGAUUCAAUGUCUCGACCCAAUCCUUAUCUAUCUACUAUAUCAAGCAUUCAACUCACAUUGUGAUAUCAUCUAGAAAAGCAUAAGGAAAUGAAAAUGCACAUUUAUCCUACAAUGCAUAUAUGUAAGAGAUGCAAGAUUACAAUGCACUAAGACAUAAAGAGGAGCCCGGUUGCUUCGGGAUGACACCACCCACCUUCUGAGGUUGUCACGACUCUAGGAAUGCGAUUCGGCGACUUUACGAUGUUGUCUCGGCCUCCCAGGCAGAAACGAAGCUCGGAAGGUCCUUAUUGCCAAUAACUUUGCACCCGCUCGACGAAUCGUCGAACCAUUUUCGCCAACGCGUUUAAACACCUAGCAAUUAGGUUUACACUUGAUCAAUUUAGAUCAAUACCCAACAAAUCACAAAACCCCAUUUUGGAGCCCUAACUUGCAGUCAUGCAAGAUUCCAUCUCUAAAUCUCCAAACUCAUGCAUUAAACACUUAUUAAGCAUGCUAGAGUUCCAACUAAUUCAAUUCUAGAGUAUAAAAUCCAAACCCUAGAAAUCUACCAUGGUUGAGCUUCAAGCUUACCUCCAAAAGCUAGCUCCAAUGGUGAAAAGGAGGAAGAAGAUGAUGAAAACCCUUCUCCUUGCUUGCUUCUCCACCAAAAUCCUUCUCUUCUUCACCUUCUAGAGAGAGAGAAAGAGAUCUUAGAGAGAGAGAGGCUUUUAGGUUUAUGUUUGGGAAAGAAAAUGAGAAGAGAGAGAGAGCACACUCUCAUAUAGCCUCCUCUUAUGCUACAAAUGCAUAAAAGCCCCUCAACUUGUCCACUACGACUCAGCCCAUCCAGGGCAAUUUUGGGCUACGGGGACCGGUCUCUCUAAGAGGGACCGGUCCCCGAGAGUGGCUUAUUUAACAGAAAAGGGCCUUUGUCCCCUUUUCCACGCUUACGGGGACCGGUCUCUCCAACGAGGGACCGGUCCCCGAGAGCACACUCUCGCAGGAAAGCCCUAUUGUCACUUUGCAUACCUACGGGGACCGGUCUCUCCCGCCACGGACCGGUCUCCGAGAGCAAUUUUGUGCGUAGAACCUUCUGCCACAUUUUCCAAGCUACGGGGACCGGUCUCUCCCACCAGGGACCGGUCCCCAAGAGCAAAGAUUUUGCACUUUGCAGAAUCUUCACAACUCGCUCUCGGAGGCCUUCUCCAAUGCACUUUUGGCCUUUUUGAUGCCUUCGGACUUUCCGAAGCACACCAAGUUGAUAAUCAGUCGAUUCUAACCGAAGUUUAACUCUCGUAUUUCGAGAAUUCACUUUCUUACAUCCUCCUCACCUUUAAAAGAGUUUCAUCCUCGAAACGAACUCAAAUCUCAACUAAAGCUCAAACUUACUCAUACCUUGCUCACUCCCCAAAAAGAUAAGGGUGCUGCGCUUUCAUUGCGUCCUCAAGUUCCCACGUAGCUUCGCGAUCGUCGUUGUCACGCCCCGCGACCACCCGCCUAUUUGGCAGGGUCGCGGCGCAUCGACAGACCGCCGAACGGACAGAGUUUCUCCUGUACGUCCUAAGCGUCGCAAUCUAUACAAUACGAAGGUUCCAACCAGGAACUGAUAUCAAUCAAGAUUGCAUAAGGAAGUAUCAAAUAUAAAACUACUUGCUAUUACAAGCAUUCAUAAUCAUACACGUUACAUCACAUUUCAUUUUCUUUUACAUUGGUCUUCCAAAUACAAUCUGAGUUAUUACAUCACUUUACAGGUUUGAUACAUUUUAUUUCAUCGUCCUCUAGUCCCCUAAGCUAGACUGUCUCAGGGUACUGCUACCUCGGUCUCUGGGUAGGGCGCUAUCUACGGAGCUACGCCUUUGCCUCGCGCCGCCGCGCCGCUCAAGUGCGAACCUGAAAUACCCCAAAACAACGUGGGGUGAGAACCAACUCCAUGGUUCCCAGUGGGUACGGCCAUCCAAGGAAAAAGCUCGACCAAUAGGUCCCAGGAGGCACUGCAACAUGUUAGUUCAAUAAUAUACAACAGAUAUAUAUAUUCGAUAUUGAAAUACAUGCCAUGCCUCACAAUAUGCGAUAUGAAAAUCAUGCAACUCUAGUAGAUCAAUUGAUUCUACAAUUUACUUGGCUAAUUUUAGCUCAUAUCAUCCAACUCUAAGGUUUCUACUACCUUAGGAUUACACUCAAGUCCACUAGCAUUUAAGGUCUCUAUUACCUUAGCUCUUGCCUCAAUCACUAGCUUACAAGGUUCCCACUACCUCUAUCAAGCUAACCACCCGACUCGGCUCUGAGUCAAUCAUCCGCGGAUAGUCCGCGCAUUGGCUGCUCAACAGCCUACCGCCCUCUGAGACUCAGCCUCUUAGCGGCGAAAUCGUCGCACACCCUGAACUCGGCUCGAGUCACUUGACAUAGCCAUUCUGGCGGCGAACACGGUAUCCUUACCCAGCAUGGACUCGAGUCAUGAUUUAGCCAUCUGGCGGCGAACUCAUCGCUCUCACCCAACAAUGGUUCAAGUCACGACUCGGCCAUCUAGCGGCGCAUGCAUCGCUCUUACCCAGCAAUGGUUUUAGUUCAUCCUGGUGGUCUGAUCCACAUUCGGCUUAACCACCUGGCGGCGAAAUCGUCGCACACGCCCAGCCGUGGUUCAAGCCUAGGGCGGUGAACUCCAUGCGUUCACCCCCAAUCCUCCUCAGGUAUCAACCUCAGCGGCGAAGUCGUCGCACACGCCCUAGCCUUGAUACCAGGAUCAUCACAGGUCCUGGGAUUCCGGAAUCCACUUCCACAGGUCGAGGGUCCGUAUCCAACCCUAAGCUGUCGACCUACAACAUCCUAGUGGCUGCUACCACUAUGCUCAACAACCCAGGUUCAAUGUCAUUCUAGGUUUACUACACAUCAUGACCUAGGUCUUAACACUCUAGGUCCUAUGUCUCUGUCACAUAACCUAGGUACAAACGCUAGGUUUUGUAUCAUCUCUACCUAGAUGUCAACUUCUAGGUUCACUUGUUCGACCUAUGUUUACUAACACUACGUUCGAUACCACACACCUAGGUUUGUUCGACUCUAGGCUCACUUGUUCAACCUAUGUUCUUUAACACUAGGUUCGAUGCCACUCGAUCUAUUCGACAUCCUAGUUGUCCAAUCGAGUAUUUCACACUACUAUGUCCACUGUCGAGUUCUUUACUCACUCUAGGAUCAUCAGUCCCAUUCAUAUGCAUAUCCUCACAAUGCUACUCAUGCAUUUGUGCAGUUAUCUAGCAUUUACAUAUCAUGCAUUCUAUAAUCUCUAUAUCAUAUUAUAUGCAUCUACUUAGCAUUUUGCAUCAUAUUAUCCACAUGCAUUAUUUAGCAUUAGCUACAUGCCUCAUUUACACUUAUAUGCAUCAACAUGGAUUCUUAAUUUUCUUAGACAUACAGGCGACCUAGUCGCUUCGGUAAGCACAACUCACCCUAGCUUGCUUUCUGCUUGCUUGUCGACACUUACAAUUGGCCUCCCGCGGCACUCGGCACCCGAUUUGGCCCGAUCUUGCAGUUGCGCCUCAACCGCGCGUCGCUUCGCAGUUCCAAGAAUUAAAGGUCUUCGUUUAUGUGCCACAGUGCUCGGGAUCCACUUUCAUGAUUUAUGGACACCGCCUCGGCCCUCCAGGCGGAAAUGAAGCUCCGAAUGUCCGUUUCUUCAAUAUCUUCGCGUAGGCUCGACGAAUCGCCGAACCAACUUCACCAACGCGUCGGAAUACCUAGCAAUUAGGUUUACACACCCUUAAAUGAGAUCAAACUCAUCUAUUUACAAAAAUCCUAAUUUGAAGCCCUAGGUUUGCACUAUAGCAAACAACUCCAACAAAACUCUAGAUUCUAGCGUUAAUACUCUAUUAAGCAUGCUAGAACACAAAUAAAACCAUUUCUAGAGCAAGAAAUACAAACCCUAGGUUUCUACCAUUAUAGGAUUUAGAAGCUUAUCUUUUUAAGCUUGCUCUAAUGGUGAGAGGAAGAAGAAGAUGAUGAUGGUGAUGAUGAUCCCCUUCUUUUCCUCCUCCUUCUUCCUUUCUUUCUUUCUUUUUUCUUUCUUCCUUUUCUUCACGUACAGAGAGAGAGAGAGAGCGGUGAGAGAGAGUGAGGGAGCAGUGAGGGAGUGAGAGAAAGAGAGAGGAAAUCCCUCUCUUAACCCCUAUAUUAUAACAAUAUGCCAAUAAGCCCCUCCACUUUUCCAUAUGUGCACUGCCCAAACUGGGCAUUUUUCGCGCGGAGGGAUCGGUCCCUCCUCGGGAGGAUCGGUCCCCGAGAGCAACUCCCCGCAACACGCGUACGGGGACCGGUCCCUCUAGGGGAGGACCGGUUGCAUCGGCGCCUGCCGCAACCAUCAGCUACGGGGACCGGUCUCUCCUGCGAGGGGGACCGGUCCCCGAGAGCAGAUCGGCCAACUGCAGAUUUUCCACUAAUUGCUCUCGGGGACUCAACUCCAAAGCACUUUUUGUGUUUUGGGCAUCUUUAGCUUCUCCGAAACCUACCCACUCGAUAAUUAGUCGAUACAGAGCGAAGUACAACUCUCGAAUUUCGAGAAUUCACUUCCUUACAUUCUCCCCUCCUUAAAAAGAGUUUCGUCCUCGAAACUCACUCAUUCAUAAAAUCCUAUUCACCCCUCAAUUCGACUCAUUAAUUAAUCGAGGGUUCCAAUGCACUUUCGCACUCCGGAGUGGCCUUUUUCUUAUCGGAAUCAUCCAAAGGUCCACUACGGAAGAUGUGAGACCAGAUUCACUCACAUUUAUUAGGUGUAACAUCGAAAGUGCAUUACGGCUUCACAAGCCUCGGUGGUAGUGUAAGUCAAUACUCAUGACUCCACACGCUCUAACACCACCUGCUAUUAGGCUCAAGAAGGACUUAUUCCUUCACAGUUCUACUAAACAUCACCAUUCCUCAAGAUCGGGACUACCCUUCGUCCUUGUGGUGUGGAUCUAGCAGAAUCGCAUCAACCAGACGAACGAUCCACCACCACUACACUAUGCGCACGGGUAGACCCUCUCGAACUACUCAAGCAUUCACAAAGUGGUACUCCACCACUUUCGCUAUCCUAGAGUCUGCCACAACUCUUCCUUGUUAAGGAUUUUAUAGGUUGGCGAAUUUCGUAAAGUUGUUUGGAGUCUUGAAGAGUUGAUCACAGAAGUUUUUGAGAAGAGAUUCAAAUUGGAGGACGAAGACUCAUUCGGAAAGCUCGACACCUAAGGUAUGAAGAAAAGAUCAUUUGUGGUGAAGAUAUAUAAUUAGAAUAAGUUCAGAAGGCUUAGAUUGCUUUAAAAUAACUUUUCUGAACUUUCAUGUGUUAUGGGACCGGUCUCUGAGAUGGAGAGACCGGUUCUCCUAAGGUCCUCACUGCGUAAACUGUGAUGCAACCGGUCCCCUGUGAUGAGAGACCGGUUCCUGAACCAUGGUGCUUCUGUCGCGCAGCGAGGGACCGGUCUCAAGUUUGAGAGACCGGUUCCCGAACGUUGGGUUUUUGGUCACGCAGAGAGGGACCGGUUCCUCACUUGAGAGACCGGUCUCUCACAGACCGGUCUCCUCGAGAGGACCGGUCUCUGAGGACGACACAGGUUUUUGAAAACGACUUUUUGCAAUCCUAGUCUACUUCUAAGUCUUCUAAACAUAUAAAUAAGCUAUGUGGGCCGUCUAAAGUUAAGGCUUUUGAAUAUUUUACCAAUUCCAAACCCUAGAAACUCGUUUUCUACGCUUCGAUUUACAUGAUGAGUUUCUAGCAAUCAACAUCGGCUUGAUUCUUCGUUUUUACUCGAUACUUCUUACGAGAAUCAAGUAGAUGAUUGAUUAAAGGUGAACCCUCAUAGCUUAUGGUUUUCAAAAGUUAAAUCACCGCAAAUCUUCAAUUCUACAAGCUCCGGAAGGAGGUUCGGCGCGUGGAUCUCGCGCGAAGCCGAGGAUUCGGUGGACGCUUCGAGGAGUUGAGGCGUUGACGCUGCGAGGAGUUGCAGCAAGGUCGAUUGGUGGAUUCCUAUCGAUCGAGGACCGGCAAAGAUCACCGUCAACGAGAAAUCGGUAAAUUGAGUCGUGUGUUUUUGGUCGAAAUCACUUGUACUCAAGUUUUCUUAGUGGAUUUUCUUUGCGUGAUCGGUCCCGUGGGUUUUUCACUCCGAAUUGGAGUUUUCCCACGUUAAAUUCUCGGUGUGCUAUUUUAAUUUCCGCUAUUGUGUUUGUUUGCAUCGAGAUUUUUCGAGUUUGCCGGAUUUACACCUAUUCACCCCCCUCUAGGUGUUACUUACCUUUUAGAUCCUCGGGAUCCAUAACUUACAAGUGGUAUCAGAGCGGGUAUAGGUUGUAACUCAUGGCUGAGGGCGGUAACAUCAAUCGACCCCCUCUCUUCGAUGGAACUAACUAUGCUUAUUGGAAAGUCCGUAUGAGGGCGUUUCUUAUUGCUAUCGACGAGAGGGUUUGGCAAGCCGUUGAAUUCGGAUGGAAACAUCCUACUGAAGUGGUCGAGAAUGUUACCGGUCCGAAACCUAGAACUAAGUGGACAAAAGACGAAAACGAACUAUCUUCGUUCAAUGGGAAGGGUAUCAAUGCUUUGUUCAAUGCGUUGAAUCAAACUGAAUUUUCACGAGUAUCAGCAUGUGAAACCGCCAAAGAAAUUUGGGACACUUUACAAAUUACUCACGAGGGUACAAGCUUGGUAAAGGUUCAGAAAUUACAAAUGUUGACUAGUCGUUUUGAUGCUAUUCGUAUGGAAGAAAAUGAAACCUUUACCGAGUAUUACACUCGUCUUCAAGAUAUUGUCAAUACUUGUGCAAAUUUGGGUGAAAAAAUUUCUGAACCAAAAAUCGUUCGAAAAAUUUUGAGAACUCUUCCCGAACGUUUUCGUCCCAAGGUUGCGGCCAUUGAAACGGUAAAACAUCCGGAUGAACUCAAAGUAGAUGAACUAGUUGGUGCUCUUCAAACGUAUGAAAUGACUUUUCCUUCUAAUUCGUCUUCUUCCAAGUCUUUUUCUAAAGCCUCAGGCAUGGCUCUAAAAUCAACAAAAGGAGAUGUCUCGUCAACCUCAUCAGAUUCAGAGUCGGAGCAAAGCUUGGAGGACUUUGAGAAACAACUCGCACUUCUAACAAAGAAGUUCCGUCGGAACUUUAGAAAGAAGUUUCCUCCCAAGUCUAGUUCAUCAAAGACAAACAAAUCUAAAGGGGGUCCGUCUUCUUCUUCCUCGUCAAAAUACAGAAAAUCUGAUAACUCUCAAAAGGACUCCACAAAAGAGAGGAAAAGCGGUGAAGGUCAAAUCCAAUGCUACAAGUGUAGGGGCUUUGGCCAUAUAGCGUCUGACUGUCCUAAUAAAAAGACGUUGAAGAAGAAAGCUAUGCAAGCUAUGACUUGGGACGACUCCUCAUCUGACGAUUCUACUUCAAGCGAAGAGGAUGUAAAUGCCACGGCACUGUUUGCACAGGAUUCAACUUUCAUGUGUCUAGCAUCUACUGACUCGAUUUCUACGACAUCUAUACAAGAGAAGUCAUCUUCGGAGAACUCAUCGGAUGAAGAAUCGGACGAAGAUGACAUGGUCGCAGCAUAUCAACAAUUAGUUGUUGAAUCAAAGAAGAUGGCUAAACACAACAAGAGACUUCGGCGUAGUCUACAUGAGUUGGAACAAGAAAAUUCAAAGUUGGUCUCUCUAACAAAGGAUUUAGAACAAGAGAGAGAUGGGUUGACCAAGGCUUACAAUUCUUUGCUUGAGAAGUGUUCGUUACUUGAAAAUGAAAAGGAGACUCAGGCGGAGAACAUCAAGCAUCUUACCAAACAAAACUCAGAAGCUAGAGAAGCAAAUAUGGAAUUCACCAAGACGAUCAUUCAACUGAAGUCGGAUUUGAACCAAUUUUCAUCUGGCUCGAGCAAACUAGAUAAGAUGCUUGGACUUGGUCAGACAAAUAAACUUGGACUUGGUUAUGAACGAACAUAUAUUGAUCAAGUUACGAAGAACGAUGAUGGAAACUCGUCUACUGCUGUACCUAAACUUUAUGGUAAGUUUGUCCCUCCUAAAAAUAAUUUGGCUAACAAAACUUGUCAUAUUUGUGGUGUUUUAGGACAUAUAAAGAAAUUCUGCUUUCAAAAGGGAAAGAGCUCGAUAGCUCUCUUGAAGAGUGACCCUAGAAUGACAUUAAAGUCAAUUGUGACUCCAAAGAAGAUAGAACAAAAGAAGAGCCAAAUUCCGACACCAAAUACUCCGAAGCCAAAGGCAAAACCAGCAUGGAAACCAAAGAAGGAGGACAUGAAGGGGAAGUCAAUUCAAAUCGUCGACAAGCCACGAUCAACAAAAGCAAGCGAACGGACACAACCCAAAACACGUAAGGUUUGGGUGCGCAAAGGUGAACUCUUCCCAUGCCUAGUCAUUCACACUUCACUUCAUGCUUACGAUAACUCAUCUUGGUAUCUGGAUAGUGGCUGUUCCCGUCACAUGACCGGAGAUAAAAAUUGGUUUACUUCUUUGACCAAAAUCUCCGGAGGACUUGUUGUUUUUGGAGACGGUCGAUCGUCAAAAAUCGUUGGAAAAGGAACAGUGACUAUCUCAGACGGCCCUACGUUGAAUGAUGUUUUUUAUGUUGAAGGGCUUAAAUCUAAUCUCGUAAGCAUAAGUCAAUUGUGUGAUGAUGGGUAUUCGGUGAACUUUUCUGAUAAAGAAUGCCAUGUGACUCGUGAUGACAAUCUAUUCUUAAAGGGCAUUAGAUCUCAGAAUAAUUGUUAUGUAGUUCCUAGUUCGGCCACUGAACAUUGUAACCUAGCGUCAUUAGAAACUGAAACUUUAUGGCAUGAACGACUAGGUCACAUCAAUUUUAAGGAGCUAUCUAAGAUAACCAAGAAGGAGGUAGUUAGAGGUGUACCUAAGAUUGACUAUAAAGAGAACACUGUGUGUGGGGGUUGCCAAUUAGGGAAACAAACUAGAUCCACACAUAAGAACUUGAACCACUUAGGGACAACUAAACCUCUAGAGUUACUUCACAUGGACUUGAUGGGACCAUCUAGGAUUCAAAGUUUGGGUGGAAAACGUUAUAUUUUGCUUAUUGUUGAUGAUUUUACUCGCUAUGUAUGGAGUGCUUUCUUACGAGAAAAAGCUGAUACUUUUAAUUCUUUUUCUGAAAUCUGUCUCCGUCUUAUGACUGAACGAAAUGAUAAAAUUGUACGCAUUCGAAGCGAUCAAGGGGGAGAAUUCAUAAAUUCUAAAUUUGUUGAUUUCUGUGUUUCAAACGGUAUAAAACAUGAAUUCUCGGCCCCCUAUACACCCCAACAAAACGGAGUGGUUGAACGUAAGAAUCGGGUUGUACAGGAGAUGGCUCGUGUUAUGCUUCAUAGUAAGAAAAUUGCUUUACAUUUUUGGGCCGAAGCAGUUAACACAGCUGUCUAUGUUAUCAAUCGGAUUUAUGUACGUCCGGGCACUUUGAAUACGCCUUAUGAACUUUGGCUUGGUAGAAAACCUAACAUUAAAUACUUUCGUGUCUUCGGGAGUAAAUGUUUUAUCCUUCGGGAUCGUGAAAAUCUUGGAAAAUUUGACUCUCGCAGUGACGAAGGCAUAUUUCUUGGUUAUUCUACUACAAGUCGUGCCUAUCGUGCGUACAAUUUACGAACUAAGACGGUGAUAGAGUCUAUCAAUAUAAAAGUAGAUGAAGCUUCUUUUGUAAGUUCUUCUGUGAAUGGUUCUUCAAAUUCUUUGAUGAAUGACGAUGAUAAUGAUUCUCCGUUUGUAAUGCCUGUGAAUGAUGAUGUUUCUAUACCUGAUAAUUCCAUUGCAUCUUCUGAAAAUAUUGCAUCAAAUGAUUCAUCUGAGCCACAAAACAUCACGGCUGAAAUCCCGAGUACAGAGACUACCCCCCUGACAGAGUCAAGAGAUCAUCCUUUGUCAAAUGUGAUUGGGGAUCCUAAUGUUGGUGUGCGAACAAGAAGUCAGUUACAAUGUGAAUUUGCAUGUUAUGUUUCUUUGAUUGAGCCAAAGAAUGUUGACGAAGCUCUUGUUGAUGAAUAUUGGAUAAAUGCCAUGCAAGAAGAACUUGGUCAAUUUGUUCGCAAUGAUGUAUGGGAAUUGGUGCCUCGUCCUGAGCAACAACACAUUAUUGGUACCAAAUGGAUCUUUAAGAAUAAGAAAAAUGAGGAUGGUACUAUCGUGCGGAACAAAGCUAGACUUGUGGCUCAGGGGUACUCUCAAAUUGAGGGAAUAGACUUUGAAGAAACCUUUGCUCCGGUUGCCCGUCUUGAAUCUAUUCGUAUCUUGUUCGCGAUUGCUUGCCAUUUUAAAAUCACGCUCUUUCAAAUGGAUGUCAAAAGUGCGUUUCUAAAUGGAUUUUUAAAAGAGGAAGUUUAUGUUGAACAACCGAAAGGUUUUAUAGACUCAAAAUUUCCAAAUCACGUUUUUCGACUGAAAAAGGCACUUUAUGGACUAAAACAAGCUCCGCGAGCAUGGUACGAACGCUUAACAAAAUAUCUUUUGGAAAAGGGCUAUAACCGAGGGGGAGCAGAUAGAACUCUUUUUGUGAAGCAUCUGAAGAAUAAUUUCAUUGUAGCACAAAUAUAUGUGGAUGACAUAGUUUUUGGGGCUACUAAAGAUAAGGAUGCCGCUGAUUUUGCAAAGUUAAUGACCAGCGAGUUUGAGAUGUCGAUGAUGGGGGAGCUUAAUUAUUUCCUUGGACUUCAAGUUAAACAAUCAAAAGAUGGAAUUCAUUUGUCUCAGACCAAGUAUGCAAAGGAACUGGUUAAGAAAUUUGGAUUGGACAAUGCAAAGGAUUUUGACACUCCAAUGGGUACAAGCAACAAAGGACUUGGGUUGAGUUUGGAAGGACAGAGCGUGGAUGAGAAACAAUACAGAAGCAUGAUUGGGAGCCUAUUGUACUUGACUGCGAGCAGGCCAGAUAUUGCUUUUAGUGUUGGAAUGUGUGCUCGCUAUCAAGCUAAUCCUAAGGAAGUCCAUCUGAAAGCGGUUAAAAGGAUCAUUCGGUACGUUAAGAGUACAACCGCGUAUGGACUUUGGUAUCCUAUGGGAACAUCUCUUGAUCUAAUCGGCUACUCAGAUGCUGACUGGGCAGGAUCUGCAGAUGAUCGGAAAAGUACUAGUGGAGCUUGUUUUUACAUUGGACACUGUCUGGUUGCUUGGCACAGUAAGAAGCAAAACUGUAUUGCUCUUUCAACUGCAGAAGCUGAAUACAUUGCGGCCGGGAGUUGCUCUACACAAUUGAUCUGGAUGAAGAGUUUACUGAGCGACUAUCGAAUCCCUUCCACCACUCUUAGUAUUCUUUGUGACAACACAAGUGCAAUUAAUAUUUCUAAAAACCCUGUUUUACAUUCACGAACAAAACAUAUUGAAUUAAGAUAUCACUUUUUAAGAGAACUGGUUGAAUCAAACAUUCUACAACUUGAAUAUAUUUCAACUGAAAGUCAACUUGCAGAUAUUUUAACAAAACCUUUGGAUCAAAAACGUUUUCUGCAUUUAAGAAAAGCGAUUGGUAUGAAUCCUUCAAUCUAGAUAUAUUCUAUUGGGCCAUAGAUCAUGUGCAUGUUGCAUCUUAUUUUUGUGAAUGGUUUCUGGUAUUUCCUGAUUGUGCUUGAGAGAUGAUUGAAUUUCUUGAUUAAUGUUGCUACUUUUGGGAGAUGAAUCGGUUCGUAACUUUAAUUAUUUCAUAUUUAAUUUUUGAUUGAUCACUGUCAAGGUUGUUCUAUAUUGUCAUAAUUGUUGAACGAUCAAAUCAUUGAGAUUCUGUUUUGCAUACUGAAUCAAAUUCAACACCUCUUGCUUCGAACUUUGAAUGUUGCUAUUGUUUAUCUGAUUAUGAGUUUUGAGAUGAAUAACUCUUUCUCUGUUUUUGAAAUUGAAAUAAUAUUUUUGACUUGAGGGUUGCACUAAUUUAGGAAGAGUCUUUCCAAUUUUGGUUAUGAAAGUUUCUGAUAUUCAAGAUGUGGAAAGAGUUACAUCCCUGCUGGAAGUGUGAAAACUACCACCAUAUGGAGGAAAGAGCUACCACCCUGGUCGUCUGGUCAGUGUGUGCAGCUACCACAUGUUGAUUAAAGUAUCUCUAUGAAACAAAAAGAAAGUACCUUUCAGAGAUAAAAAGAAAAAUGCUCAAAGAGCUAUACAUCUCAUAGGUGAUAUAAGGUGGAAUGUUAAUUAAAAAAAAAAAGAUGCUCAAAGAGCCACUCCUGUCUCGAACAUUGUGCAUAACUUAAUUUGAACAUAUUAUUUUGAUUUCAUGAUUUGAGAAUUAUUUAUAUAUUUUCUUUAACAAAUAUGAUGAUAAAACAAUACAAUAAAUUCCUAAAUCUUGCAUGAUGUGUGGAAUUUUAUUUUAUAUGUAUCUAGAAUUGUCAUUGAUUUUCGGGUCAACAAUUUUGCCAAAUUGAGUAUCCUUGAAAUUGAUUUUUUUUUCAAAAUUUAUUUAUGAAUUUUUUCUUUGAAGUUAUUGGAAUGGAAAUAAGUUAUUUUUGUUGGUUUAUCAUUGUGGAAUUUCAUAUAUUUUUCCUGGAAUUUUUGAAGCUUAUUUUAAAUUUUUUAAAAAUUCUAGGCUCUGGGACCGGUCCCAGACAGAAGAGACCGGUCCCUCCGCCCGACCCAAUAAAGGGGUUUUUGCUCGUGUGUCUUGUACACAUUUCACAAAUUUCCCUGUUUGUUCCUCUUGCACUUUUCUUGCCUCCAGAGCAUUUUUCCUCACAUUCCUCGUGGUUUAGCACCGAUUUGAGGUAUGAUUUUCGGAUUUUGUUGCAUUUGUAUCAUAUACUCCGAAAAUGUGUUUCGUUUCCGAUUUUUUGAUGCUUGUUCUAGAGAUCUUGCUGAAAGAUGCAUAUUUAUGCUUCGAUCUUGUUAUUAGAACUGUUGUUUUCAUAUUUUCUAGUAUUUCUUUGUUUUUGGAACAAGUUUUGUAGGUUUUUCAUCAUCAAAACCUAGGUUUUCAAAGUUUUCCUGAAAAGAUUUGUUUUUGCUGAUUUAGUUGCAUGAUUAGUUCAUGUUUCUCAUGAUUAUGUGGCUCCUAGGAUUAUCUAGUAUUUAUAUAUCAAUUUGCUGAAAAUUUUUUUUGGAAUUAAAAAAAAAAUUAAGUGUUCUUAUGUUUCAUAUGUAAAUAUUUUUAUGUUUAACAGGGGAUUUCUUCAAAAUGUAUUCAUUGUUACUUGUGCUUGUGGUCCUGAUGGCCGGGGGUGGUCGUGGAAGCAAACGACAGCGCUCCAAAGCUAAACGGCCGAUUGAGUAUCAACCGGAAGAUGAAGAGAGCGAAUAUGCUCCUGGCGACGACUCUGAGGAGGAUGAACCGGAUUGGGAGGCUUUUGUUCCCGAGGUAUUAGCUAAGGAUAAGGAUACUGGGAAAGGCAAGGGAAAAGGAAAAGCCGUGGAUAAAGGCAAAGGAAAGGCGACUGAGCGUUCCGGUCGUCGUAAGUCCGGGGGUGUUGAGAUUCGAGAACCGGGCUCUGAACCACCACGUCGCAGUCUACAGGAUGUUCCAUCUAAUCGACGGUCAAUGUAUUCGUCGAAACACUGCAUUGGUGAGCGAGAUGUUGGGGUGGCCAGUAUUAUUAGUUGUGUGCCGGGUUUUCAGGAUUUGUUUGAACAGGGGAAUCUUCAUCAGAUUUGUGAUUUCCCGGAGCAAACCGGUUAUUGUUUGGAGUUGAUCAGAGAAUUUUACAUGAGAGCAGGUCACCUCAGUGACUCCGACGGCGGUCCGUACGUGUUUAAGACUUCCGUACGUGGUGUUGAGUUAUCCAUCACUCCUGAGACAAUAGCUUCGGUGCUAGAGAUGGAAGCUAAGACUGACGGAGUGGAGUAUCUGCAGGCCGGGUUCGACUCACUUCGCGAUUGGAACCGUGUCGUGAACACUAUUUGUAUGCCGGGUACUGAAUCAAACGGCAUUAUGGUUAUGUCAAAAGAUUUCAAAAUGGAGUACAGGUUUCUGAACUUUGUGGUUUGCUACAACAUCAUGCCUCUCGCGAACACGAAAAUCUUGAGAUGGGAUCGGAUUCUGUACAUGUAUCUCUUGGGUAGGCCAGAUAUUGUGAGUGCGAAAAACAUUAACAUGAAUAUUCCGUUUCUGAUCUGGCGGCGGAUGGCGAAAGACAUCAAAACCUCUGGGCAAAAUGAGAGGUUACCAUUUCCUUUGAUAAUUAUGCGGAUUUUGCGACUUCGUGAGGUGGAUGUUCGGUGUACAUCAUACGAGCACAGUUUGGGUCGGAUCAAUGAAAGGACGUUUGUAAAGUCCUCGGUGCAGCUUCGUACGCCGUCUCAACGUGCUUCUUCCCCUCCUGCAGCUCCACCUCCUGCUACUGCUACUUCUUCACGUCCUUCUAUGGACAUUUCUGAGGAAGAUAUUUCCGUUUCAUCGGUGUAUCGCGAGCAGCAACGUCUAUCUGAGGAGCUUCAGAAGUUGUCUGCAGAACAAGCUGCGAUUCGUAAGGAUGUGAGCAAGAUGAAGCGCUUGUUGAAUAUGAUUUUUGACAAAUUAGGAUGUUGUCGGGCAGAUUUACCUCCAGGAGAUGAUUCUGACUAGGAGUUACCGAGCUUCUCCUUUUGUCGUUUUGGCGCUUUCUGACAAAAAGGGGGAGAUGGAUGGGAUGGUCUUAAUGAUGAUGAUGAUGCAUUAUUCUUGAUGUUUAGUUAGUUAAGAUGUUUAAUUAUGAACUAUGAUGCUUUAGGUGUCUGACUUAGUGCUUUAGGUGUUUGUGACUAUGAACUAUGAAUUAUGAACUAUGACUUGAUAGUUUGUUUGAUCUUGAUACUUGAAUCUUGAUUAUGUUUUGAGAAUGUUUUUGCAGGAAUAAUUCAAGACUUCAAGACUCCAUGUCUAAGUCAUAGAGUUUGUAUUAAGGUUGUAAAAGUGUAAAUUUUGUUUAUUGGAUUGAUCAUGCAGGAGAUUAUCGUUUGGUGAUUGCGAUGAUCUUCUUUUUAUGAUUUAUUAGUUGUAUACGAACUUUGUAGUAUAUUUUGUCACGAAAUCGCCAAAGGGGGAGAUUGUUAAGGAUUUUAUAGGUUGGCGAAUUUCGUAAAGUUGUUUGGAGUCUUGAAGAGUUGAUCGCAGAAGUUUUUGAGAAGAGAUUCAAAUUGGAGGACGAAGACUCAUUCGGAAAGCUCGACACCUAAGGUAUGAAGAAAAGAUCAUUUGUGGUGAAGAUAUAUAAUUAGAAUAAGUUCAGAAGGCUUAGAUUGCUUUAAAAUAAUUUUUCUGAACUUUCAUGUGUUCUGGGACCGGUCUCUGAGAUUGAGAGACCGGUUCCCCUAAGGUCCUCACUGCGUAAACUGUGAUGCAACCGGUCCCCUGUGAUGAGAGACCGGUUCCCGAACCAUGGUGCUUCUGUCGCGCAGCGAGGGACCGGUCUCAAGUUUGAGAGACCGGUUCCCGAACGUUGGGUUUUUGGUCACGCAGAGAGGGACCGGUUCCUCACUUGAGAGACCGGUCUCUCACAGACCGGUCUCCUCGAGAGGACCGGUCUCUGAGGACGACACAGGUUUUUAAAAACGACUUUUUGCAAUCCUAGUCUACUUCUAAGUCUUCUAAACAUAUAAAUAAGCUAUGUGGGUCAUCUAAAAUUAAGGCUUUGAAUAUUUUACCAAUUCUAAACCCUAGAAACUUAAUUCUCUCCGUUUCGAUGCUUAGAUGAGUUUCUAGCAAUCGACAUCGGCUUGAUUCUUCGUUGUUACUCAAUAAUUCUUACGAGAAUCAAGUAGAUGUUUGAUAAAAGGUGAACUCCCAUAGCUUAUGGUUUUCAAAAGUUAAAUCACCACAAAUCUUCGAUUCUACAAGCUCCGGAAGGAGGUUCGGCACGUGGAUCUCGUGUGAAGCCGAGGAUUCGGUGGACGUUUCGAGGAGUUGAGGCGUUAACGCUGCGAGGAGUUGCAGCAAGGUCGAUUGGUGGAUUCCUAUCGAUCGAGGACCGGCAAAGAUCACCAUCAACGAGAAAUCGGUAAAUUGAGUCGUGUGUUUUUGUCGAAAUCACUUGUACUCAAGUUUUCUUAGUGGAUUUUCUUUACGUGAUCGGUCCCGUGAGUUUUUCACUCCGAAUUGGAGUUUUCCCACGUUAAAUUCUCGGUGUGCUGUUUUAAUUUCCGCUAUUUUGUUUUGUUUGCAUCGAGAUUUUUCGAGUUUGCCGGAUUUACACCUAUUCACCCCCCUCUAGGUGUUACUUACCUUUUAGAUCCUCGGGAUCCAUAUCUAACAUUCCUCAUAUUUCUCAUCACAUCGGGAAACACACUCCGAUCCGAUCACCGGCAUUGCCUAGAAGCAAUAUUGUCGGUGCAUCGACCAAUCGCACGCGCUCCGAUCUCAAUCGAAUCUCUGGUCUAUCACGAGAUGGCACACCCCUGCACAUCUCCAACCUCAAUCCCUUUGAGAGCUCCAAUCCUCACGUGGCUAUCCAUUAUGCUAGUGUCUCCUAGAGACCACUUUACUUUCUCUUUAUCCUUUGACACUAUAAGCCACGUUCAACACCACACGAACCCUCCGUUCGUGAAUCCAAGCCCAACUCACUAACAGAGUUGCUCGCCGCACCGAUCAUCGGUUUUCACAAGUGGACCAAGGGCCACCAAUCCUACGUAGGCCAGCCGCCUAACUCGUCUCAACGACGCCUAGCGUCUCUCGCUCGCAAGCGUAGACCCAAUCAUCAUUUUCGGACGAAAUUCUCACUUGAAAAUUCGCACACACUCCAACCAGGAGCAACCACGACCCUGAACCACAUCGAGUCCUCGGGUUGGGUCGCUACACCCUCGGUGUACUAUCAAUCUCAUGAUCCAACACAUGGCCUUCCACGUACCUGGGUCUAAGCUUGGACUACCGUCCUGACCAACACUCUGCCCUACCUAUAGGUAUCGGGAAUUUCGCGAUUUCGCGAUUUCGCACUUCUCGAGCAAUAAUCAACGCCGGAAACUCCUCGUAACUCAUAUUCUCGUGCAAUCCCGGCGGUGUAUAUGACAAUAUAUGCUCGGGAUUGUGGAUAUAUUUGCGGAGGUUGGAGACAUGGAAGACAUUGUGAACAUUGGCGAGCUUCGGCGGCAACGCGAGCCGAUAAGCCACCGCACCAAUCCGCUCCAACACCUCGUACGGCCCAACAUAUCGGGGACUCAACUUUUCCCGCACUCCGAACCGCUUCACGCCUCUCAUGGGCGACACCUUGACGUAGACGCGGUCGCCUACCACGAAUUCAUAAUCUCUACGGCGCUUAUUGGCGUAACUCCUUUGUCUAGAUUGCGCCGUGAGCAAUCUUUGGCGAGUAAGGCGGACUUUCUCCUCCGCCUCUCGCAAGACAUCGGGGCCAAGAACCGCACGUUCGCCUACCUCACUCCAAUGGAUAGGAGAUCGGCACUUCCGCCCGUAAAGAGCUUCGAACGGUGCCAUCCCUACACUAGCCUGAUAACUGUUGUUGUAGGCGAACUCGGCCAUCGGUAAGUGAUUACUCCAACUGCCCCUAUAGUCAAUGACACACGCUCGCAACAUAUUCUCCAGAAUUUGUAUAGUCCUAUCUGACUGUCCAUCUGUCUGAGGAUGAAAAGCGGUACUGAAAUUGAACUGUGUGCCCAACUUUCCUUGCAGGCUCUUCCAGAAAUUCGAAGUGAACCGCGGGUCUCGAUCCGAUACAAUUGACUUCGGCACCCCGUGCAACCUCACAAUAUCAUCAAGGUAUACCUGCACUAGCCUAUCACCUGCCCAAGUCGUGUGGAUCGGCAAGAAGUGUGCCGACUUUGUCAAACGAUCCACAAUCACCCAGAUUACAUCGUGGCCAUUCAACGAAUGAGGUAGGCCGACCACGAAGUCCAUGGUCACAUCCUCCCAUUUCCAAGCGGGGAUAGGUAAGCUCUGAAGCUUUCCCGCUGGAAAUCGGUGCUGCUUUGACUUGCUGGCAUGCCAGACACUGCACCACAUAGCGUCCAAUAUCGACUUUCAUUCCCGGCCACCAAUAAUGCUGUUUUAGAUCUUGAUACAUCUUGGUGCCGCUCGAGUGGAUGCUAUAAGGCGACCAAUGCGCUUCUUUCAAAAUCAGCUUCCGAAUCUCUUCAUUGUCCAGUACACACCACCGGUUUCGAAAUCGAAUCACACCCUCGGCGUCUACAUUGAAAUCGCCACUGUGUCCGCUCUUGAUGUCGCGCCGCACCUUCUGGAGAGUUGGAUUUGCAGAUUGUAACCCUUUAAUCCUCUCCAACAGGGUUGGUUGGACAACGAGAGUUGACAACAUAGCCGGAACCUUUGGAGCUACAACUCGAGAUCAAUCUGUCCCAUCUCCUUCCAUAGGGGCUCCUGAUUCGUGACUCACAUCGCGAGGUUCUCCGCCGACUUUCUACUGAGUGCAUCAGCGACUACAUUUGCUUUCCCGGGGUGGUAGAGAAUAUCGAGAUCAUAAUCCUUUAACAGCUCUAACCACCGCCGUUGUCGCAUGUUAAGCUCUUUCUGUGUGAACAAAUACUUCAGACUCUUGUGGUCAGUAUACACUUCACAACGCGCGCCGUACAAGUAAUGCCUCCACAACUUGAGAGCAAAUACCACUGCGGCUAACUCCAAGUCGUGGACAGGGUAGUUCUUCUCGUAGCUUUUCAACUAAUGGGACGCAUAUGCGAUCACCUUCCCUUCCUGCAUCAGAACACACCCCAAUCCUGAAGAAGAGGCGUCACUAUAAACCACAAAGUCCUCAUCUGGCACCGAUAAAGCAAGCACCGGAGUCGAAGUCAGUUUCUCCUUCAACUCGUUGAAACUCUGGUCACAUUCACUGCUCCAAAUAAACUUGGUGCCCUUUUGAGUCAGACGGGUAAGUGGAAUAACUAUCUUCAAGAAACUAUCUAUAGUAGCCUGCCAAGCCCACGAAGCUUUGAACCUCUGUGACAUUAGUCGGGCGCGGCCAAUCUCUGAUCGCCUCCACUUUCCUCGGGUCAACAGAAACACCACCCUCGGAAAUAACAUGCCCCAGAAAUGCGACCUCUCGGAGCCAAAAGUCGUACUUCUUUAGCUUCGCAUACAACUUCUCCUCCCGAAGGAUUUGAAGCACUAGCCUUAAAUGCUCGGCAUGCUCCUCGUCGUUGCGAGAAUAGACCAGAAUGUUGUCUAUAAAAACCACGACAAACCGGUCCAAGUACUCCUUGAAGACACGGUUCAUUAAGUCCAUGAAUGCUGCCGGGGCGUUCGUGAGCCCAAACGGCAUGACCAUGAAUUCAUAGUGCUCAUACCGCGUGCGGAACGCGGCCUUCUGUACAUCUUCCGGCUUUAUCCUUAGCUGAUGAUAACCGAACUGUAGGUCUAUCUUUGAGUACACACACGACCCCUGCAGUUGAUCAAAUAAAUCGUCGAUUCGGGGCAAUGGGUACUUAUUCUUGAUCGUGACUUUGUUCAACUCGCGAUAGUCCACGCAGAGUCGAAACGAUCCGUCCUUUUUCCGCACAAAUAAUACUGAGGCUCCCCACGGUGAUACACUCGGCCUGAUGAACCCUUAGUCGAGGAGAUCUUGCAACUGAGCCCUUAACUCCUUUAGUACAGCCGGCGCUAUACGAUACGGGGCCUUUGAGAUCGGCGCCGUUCCGGGGAUCAAGUCUAUCACAAACUCGAUCUUUCGAUUGGGCGGCAUCCCCGGUAACUCCGUAGGAAACACGUCCGGAAACUCCCGAACUAUCGACAACUCCUCGAGUGCCGGAACUACUCGGUCCAUUUCCACAAUGGUCGCUAAGUAAGCCACGCAUCCGCUGUUAACCAAUUUUCUUGCUCUCGUCGUAGAUACCGUCGCUGCGAAGCAUGAGCUAUUGCACGCUCGAUACGCGAACUCCUCCUGUCCUAGCUCCCGAAACGUUAUCACCUUAUUCCUGCAGUCGAUAGACGCGUAGUAUUUCGAAAGCCAGUCCAUGCCCAAUAUAACGUCGAAAUCUUUCAACCUCUUGAGCAUCAACAUACGAAUUGGCAUUAUCCAGUUGCCCACUUGAACUGGACACGCCAGACAUUCCUUGCGAAUAACGAACGCACGCCCGGCGCCCUCUACUCGCCAGGUGCUCUGACUUGACUGAAUGCCAAUGUCAUGCAUUUGUGCAAAUGAUCUACUGAUGAAUGAAUGCGUAGCACCUGUAUCAAACAUAGCCCUGGAGCGAACUCCGUCAAUUAAAACCAUACCUGCCACGACGUGGCACUCCUCGACUUCGACAGGCUCCUCGGCUUGAGUGCGAAUACCCGGCCGCUCGGAGCCGAUCGCGUCAUCUCAGGUUGACGCGGCGCCAUCGGGCGUCCAACCGAUGCUGCUGCCGGUGGGGCUCCUCCAUAGUGCGCCGGAGUCGCUGGAGCCGAUGUGACAGACGGAGUAGGCAAGGCUUCUCCAGGACAGUCGUGGAUAAAGUGUCCCGCUUGCCCACACUUGAAGCAUUUCCCUUGCCGCUGACUGCAACGCGAUGCGGGGUGGUCUGCACCACAGAUAACACAUCGCGGCGCUCCACGGCCUCUGGACUGCGAUUGCGGAUACUUCGGGGGCUUCUUGGAAUUAGAUUGUCCCCCCGAACCACCGCCCUGACGCUUCUUUCCAUUGUCCUUGGACUCGGCCAUCAGCUUGCGCUCUUCUCGCACGUGGGCAUAACCGUGCUCAGCCCACAAUGCUCGGUCAAAAAUCUCGGCAAAGGUCGUAAGCUUGAACAACUGAACGGCCCUAUAUAUCCUCGGCUGAAACCCUCGCAAGAACCAAUCGGCCCGGUCCCGGUCAUCUCGAACAACAUCCGGGACACAAUCUAUGAUAUGGGAGAAUUCCUGUUCGUAGUCCGCUACUGAACGAUCCCCCUGCCUCAAUUUACGAAACUUCUCCUGCAACUUUCUUUUCAGUGUCGGGGAAGUAGCUUGCGAACAUUGCCUUUUUAAACUCCUCCCAUAGCAUUGGCAGAAGGUCGGAAGACCGAUCUCGCUUCACCCGCUUCCACCACACCUUCGCCGCCUUCUCGAGACAGUGAGUGGCGAGGUACACUUUAUCCUUCUCCAAAGUGUACAGGUCAUCGAAGAGUGUCUCCAUCGAGUCAAUCCACGACUCCACCAUCAACGGCUCCACCUUUUCCCCCUCGAAGAUAGGUGGGUUGAACUUAUUAAAUUUGACGAGAGCCGCCAACGCACGCUCCCGCUCCACCUUCUCGGCCGCAGCAUCGGGUGUCGCCGAACCCGAGGCCGCCAAAGAAACACUCGCCGGUGGGGGAUGUGCCACCACCGGAACUACCGCUAUGCCCUCACCCUCAGCUGCUUCAGGCACGCGCGCCGAGGGGGCGGGCGGAUCACGGUCUUCAGUCGCUGUUGCGGUCGCCGCCGCCACCUGCCGCUCCAUAAGCUCUUAGAGCCGCUCGAACCGACUCUCUUGGUGCUGCACCACGCCGGCUAGCGCAGUCAUCUGCGCCCGCAACUCUUGCACUUCGCUAGAUCCGGCUUGCUCGGGCACCUCAGGAGGCGGUGCCGGAACUGAUCUACGGGUGUAGCGCCUUGGGGACAUCAGCUCCUAAAACAUAACCAACUUGGUUAAUCACCUUAACCCACUAAACCUUAUCGCAUUUACGAAACAACGCGACUCGGCAUCGCAAUUGGGCGGAAGCACACAAGUGUACUCAUUCCCAACUCUUAGUGUCAUGUUGUCGGCCGCCAACACAACCACUACGAGUCGAGAACUCAUACCCCUUGAAUCCGUUUCCAGUCACUACUAGAAACAUACUUCAAUCCUGACCCAAUCGAUCAACUUCCGCCAUUGUCACAGGUUCACGUCUCACUCACGCACCUAUAACCUUAAGGUUUCCAUCCUAGGGUCUCCUAGGUCAAUCCUAUACUUCUCUCUUUACUUGCUCUUACUUGCUCUAAUACCAUCUCUAUCUGUCAUGCCUCGAGACCGCUACCAAUUUGGUCCGGUUCGGGCGCGUCGAACAGACGCCGAACGGACAGCACCUCCCCUGUCCGCCCAAGGCUCAAGCACGGGAUCAUGUACAAGAAUUCGCCUAGGAACAAUUCAAUACAUACGUGAUCCAUACAACGACAAUAGAAGCACCACAAGUGCUUAACAACAAGAGCAAGUAACACAAGUAUACAUACAAGUGCAAAAAAAGAUAAUUCUAUCUAUUACAUCACAUUCAUUCACAAUUUACACUUUGUUUCAUCCAAAAUAUAGGUACAAAUUCAUUCACAUCUCUCCAAAAGGCAUCUCACAACCUAUACAUCAUCUAUUCUCAUACAUGUAGGUAUCUCUAAUGCAGUAGGAGAGCUACUAAUGCUAGGGCGCUAAGCCGUUACUGCGAUCCUCGCCCGGAGCGCUCGUACUCGGCCCUGCAACAAAGUGGGGUGAGAACUAUUGUCCAUAGUUCCCAGUGGGUUCGGCCGCGGACUCAGCCGAUCUCCCGACUAGGUCCAAGUGGGCACAAGCAGAUAGAUAGAUAGAUAUGUGAAAACAAUAACGACAUAGUAAGAAAGAUAUGCUACUAUGUCCAAAUCAUAUACAAUGUAUGCAUGCACAACGUGAUAGAUAAUCAACUAACAUGCCACUAUGUCCAAGAAGUAAUGCUAUUUACUUGUUCAUCAAUUCUCUUGACUUAUCCAAUCCUUGGCCAACCCUGAGGUUCGCCCACGACUCACAUGUAUCUCGUGGGUAAGGAGACUCAACUCGCUCAGCAAACCCGAGACCGUCUGCGGGACCCCAAAAAGCUAUCCCUCAUGUGACAAACUCCGGAGCGCACGAUUGUGUGGAGUGACCACCACAAGCUCUGAACAGAUAGUGAGUAUGAUCUAAUCCUCUCAACUCGAGGUACCCUAUCCACUAGGGCUAACAGUCACUUGAGAAUCCACCUAUCCCAAUGUCCAUAUGCAAGUGUUUAACUACACUAAGUUCUUAUUCAAUGACUCAUCUCUAGGGAAUCCGCCUAUCCCUAAGUUCACAUGUCAAGUGUCACCUUGCACUAAGUUAUAUGCCACUCGUUCUGUUGUCAUUGUUAUUUAUAUGCCACUCGUUAUGUCUUUAUCAAUCAUCGAGUCCAUCUCUUAUCUUGGCGCUAUAGGAUUCAAUGUCUCGACCCAAUCCUUAUCUAUCCACUAUAUCAAGCAUUCAACUCACACUAUGAUAUCAUUUAUGAAAGCAUAAGGAAAUGAAAAUGCACAUUUAUCCUACAAUGCAUAUAUGUAAGAGAUGCAAGAUUACAAUGCACUAAGACAUAAAGAGGAGCCCAGUUGCUUCGAGAUGACACCACCCACCUUCUGGGGUUGUCAUGACUCUAGGAAUGCGAUUCGGCGACUUUACGAUGUCGUCUCGGCCUCCCAGGCGGAAAUGAAGCUCGGAAGGUCCUUAUUGCUAAUAACUUUGCACCCGCUCGACGAAUCGUCGAACCGUCUUCGCUAACGCGUUUAAACACUUAGCAAUUAGGUUUACACUUGAUCAAUUUAGAUCAAUACCCAACAAAUCACAAAACCCCAUUUUGGAGCCCUAACUUGCAAUCAUGCAAGAUUCCAUCUCUAAAUCUCCAAACUCUUGCAUUAAAUACUUAUUAAGCAUGCUAGAGUUCCAACUAAUUUAAUUCCAGAGUAUAAAAUCCAAACCCUAGAAAUCUACCAUGGUUGAGCUUCAAACUUACCUCCAAAAGCUAGCUCCAAUGGUGAAAAGGAGGAAGAAGAUGAUGAAAACCCUUCUCCUUGCUUGCUUCUCCACCAAAACCCUUCUCUUCUUCACCUUCUAGAGAGAAAGAAAGAGAUCUUAGAGAAAGAGAGGCUUUUAGGUUUAUCUUUUGGGAAGAAAAUGAGAAGAGAGAGAGAGAGCACACUCUCAUAUAGCCUCCUCUUAUGCCACAAAUGCAUAAAAGCCCCUUAACUUGUCCACUACGACUCAGCCCAUCUAGGGCAAUUUCGGGCUACGGGGACCGAUCUCUCUAAGAGGGACCGGUCCCCGAGAGUGGCUUAUUUACAGAAAAGGGCCCUUGUCCCGUUUUUCACGCUUACGAGGACCGGUCUCUCCCGCCAGGGACCGGUCUCCGAGAGCAAUUUUGUGUGCAGAGCCUUCUGCCACAUUUUCCAAGCUACGGGGACCGGUUGCUCCCACCAGGGACUGGUCCUCGAGAGCAAAAAUUCUACACUUCGCAGAAUCUUCACAACUCGCUCUCGGAGGCCUUCUCCAAUGCACUUUUGGCCUUCUUGAUGCCUUCGGACUUUUCGAAGCACACCAAGUCGACAAUCAGUCGAUUCUAAUCGAAGUUCAACUCUCGUAUUUCGAGAAUUCACUUCCUUACACUAUAGGUAGAGCCGCUUUGAUAUUUGGCAUCCACUCCUCCAGCGACUUGUGGCGGAGAGAUACGUGGCGAUCGUACCCCUCUACGGUCCCUGCGUGAUCCUCGCUACUGAAUUUCAGCUACCGGAACCCUACCUCGUCGGUUGCGUCGGUGGAGGAGGAAAAGGGGAGAUGAUCAAUUUUUAUUAUUUUUUUCUUUUUUAUUUAUAAUCGGGCCGAGUGGGCUAGGUGUGGUUGGUUGAGUAGAGGAACUUUUUAUUUUCUAUUGGAUUGUGCUUUAUUUUUAGGUCUUAGUAGAUUUUUUAAAAAAAAUUUGGCAAAAAUGUGUCCCUAUAACCUAAUUCUGUUAUAUUGGUUGAUCGCCCCUAGCCACAUUGUCGUCGAUUAAUCAAAAACGAUAGCUGCACAGUGCAUUAUUAUCAAUACGUUAAAGCUGCUAAAAAAACAAAAAAAGCAAACAUAUUUUUAAGAAUAAUGCUAGUCCUACCGUUGUUUUUUUUUAUUGUAAUUCUACAACUCUAUUAUCUAAGAAUUUAUAUUUCUUUUAAUUACUGCAACCCAAAAAGAAUAUUUUAAAAAGUUGAUUAUGAUUGCGACCCUUGGAUUAAGAGCUGUAAUCUUACAAUCAUUUUUAUGUUGAGACUCAAUAUUUCUCUAUUUUAAAAAUGGUCAAGAAAAAAUUUCUCUUCCUUGAUUGUUCUAUAUAAUUGGGAGGCAGAAGGGGUUGAUCGAUGCUAAUCAUUGCUCUUUUCCACUAAUCUUUUCAUUGAAAGAAAAAAAGAGGAUGUUAGAAAAUAAUGGACCUCCUUAUUUCUGUCCAAAGAUCGUGAAGGUGAAUUCGAUCUGCUAACUUUGAGACAAACCUUAUUUUUUUGAGAAAAAGAUAGUAUAGUACCCACUUUAUUCAUUAGGCAAAAUGAACUUGGCUACAAAUGUGAUGCAUAUGGGCCUCAAUCAAAAAAUGUAUGUAGAAAGAAAAAAGAAAAGAGAGAAGAAUGAUAAAGAAAAAGAACAGCCAAAAGAGCUACAAAAUAUAAUCACUUCUUGUCGUAGAACUCUUCCCAUUGGUUCACCAAGCACUUGAUUUUCUAGCUGCAGUCAGUGAAUUUGAGUUACGAUUUCUAAAGAUCAUGCUGUUUCUUUCUAACCAGGUCGUUGACCAGCAUGCUGUGAGGAAUGUUAGUCCUUUCUCCAAAUCUAUAGCAUUUCGUAGGUUCAUCAGACUUCACUAGAGACUCCUAACCUCGUCAAAAUACUCCAACUCAAAAGCCCCUUCGAGGGACGCCUACUAGUAGAAACCUACCAAAAACACAACUCGAGAAAAGACGAUUAGUUGGUUCUAGUUCAUGUGCACAAAGCAUGCAUGACUGAUCCCCAAUCUAGCCCGUUUUAAGUAGGUUGUCCACAAUAGUUUUUUUUUUUUUUUUUUUUGAGCUAUCCAAGUGAAAAUCUUAACUUUAACCGAAAUUCUCAAUUUUGAGAUCCUUAAGGAUAAAUUAUCCCAUAUACCUCGUCAAUCAGCACUAAGUAUACUUAACUGUAAACCCAAACCCAGGGUUCUAGCGCCAACAAAUUUUAUCAAGUCUAUUCUCAAUGGGGAAGUUGGAGAGUCUAUUCUUAAGCUCUUGCAUGCGUAUUUCAUAGCCCCGAGUCGCAAAUCUAUUCAUGCUCAAAAUCUUUCAAUAGCUCUAGUCUUGGUUGGAGCAACACUCUUCAAUUGUCAUUUCCUUUGUCAUGACCUUGUCAAAUAUAUCUGGAAAGUAGGUUCUUAGUGAAGCAUCUCUACACCAUUGGUCUGACCAAAAGUCAAUUAUGUGUCCAUCCGCCACUGAAUAGCUGACAUCACACUUAAACUCCUUAAGUUUUAGCACAUCUCUCCACCAUUGUGAGGCAGGUCUGAAGGACCUCCCUUCUUUUCAAGGUCUCCUUCUAUUAUAAUAGAUCACUUUGAUAAGUUUAUUCCAUUGUAAUUCGGUUUCGUAAAUAGUCUCCACAAUUUGGUCAGUAGAGUAUCAUUUAUUGUAGCCAUAUCCUUGACCCCUUGUAAGGAAUUGAAUUCUCGAAAUUCGAGAGUUGGACUUCAUCUAGGAUCGACUAAUUGUCGAGUGGGUAGGCUUCUGAGGAGCUAAAGAUGUCUAAAAUACAAAAAGUGCUUUGAAAAUCGAGUCCAUGAGAGCGAAUAGUGCAAGAUCUGCACUUGGCAGAUUCUGCUCUCGGGGACCGGUCCCUGGCGGGAGGGACCGGUUCCCGUAAGCAGGAGGUCUGGCAGAGAAGGGGUCUGCGCAGAGUUGCUUUCGGGGACCGGUCCCUAGCAGGGAAGGAUCGGUCCCCGUAGCUAGUGGUUGCGGUGGAUGCUUGAUACAACCGGUCCCAAGCCUGAGGGACCGGUCUCCUAAGCGAAACCAGCGAGACAGCAAAUAUUUGACUAAGUCCUGAGAAUUCCACUCUCGGGAACCGGUCUCUCAGGCAAGGACCGAUUUCCCAGGGACCGGUUCCCGUACGCUGGAAGGCUGGCAGAGAGCCUUCCUCCCGCAUGGAUUGCUCUCGGGGACCGGUCUUCCCGACGAGGGACCGGUCCCUCCGCGCGAAAACUGCCCAGGCAGAGCAGUUUGAGAAAUAAAAAGUAGAGGGGCAUAAGUGGAUAUUAUUACAAUAGAGGGUAUAGGGGACCAUUCCUCUCUCCCUCUCCCUCAUUUCCCUCCCACUUACACACUCUCUCUCCCUCUCUCUCUCUAGAACGAAAAGAAGAAGGAGAAGGAAGGAGAAGAAGGAGAGGAAGAAGAAGAAGGAAAGAAAGGUGAAGAAGAAGAAGGAAAUAAAGGUGGAAAAGAAAAAGGAGAUCAAGGAGAAGGCCUUGGACACCUUCACCUGCCUCUCCUCUCCUCUUUGGUGUAGCUCAAGAGGUAAGCUACUAAACCCUAGCAUGUAGAACUAAGGGUUUUAGGUUUUUGGCUUUGGAAAUGGGUCAAAUGGACCUCUAGCAUGCUUCUAAAUAGAUCAAUGCUAGAAUCUAGGGUUGGAUGGAGUGGUUUGCUAUAGGUGCAAACCUAGGGCUCCAAAUUGGGGUCUUUGAUAAUGAGAUUGAUCUCAUUUGGUGGCUUGUAAACCUAAUUGAUAAGUGUCUAAACGCGGGGGCGAAGUCGGAUUUUCGAUUCGUCGAGCGGAUGAAAAGCUAUCAGCGAAAUAUAGCCGAUUGAGCACCGUUUUGGACCAAGGAGGCCGAGACCUCGUCGUAACGUUCAUUGGGAAGCGUUUCUAGAACCUUCAUACCCUCAAAAGGUGGGGGGUGUCAUCCCGAAGCAACCGAGCUCUUUUCUAUGUCCUAGAAAUACAUAAUUUUCAUCUCUUGCAUGUUGCAUUGUAGGAUUGCAUUGUAGGACCUUUUUCUUAUGCUUCUAAAUGUUAACCUAGUGUACAUGGAAUACUAGGUGAAAUGGAUAGGUAAGGAUUGAGUUGGAACAUGGAUCCUAUAGUACUAAAGGAAAGAGAUGAACUCGAUGAUUAUUUAGUAACAAAGAGAGUGGCAUCUAAAUGUUUAAAGAACAGAACGAGUGGCAUUAUGUAGUGUAUUUGACACUAGAGGUUCAUAAACUUAGGAAUAGGUGGAUUUCCUAGAAAAUGACUCGUGAACAAUGAACUUAGUAGAACUAAGUAACUAUGCAUGAAUGUCGAAAUAGGUGAGUUCCGAGAAAAAUGUUGGCCCUAGUUCGUAGGGUAUCCUCACGUGGAGAGGAUAGAUCAAGCUCACGGUUUGUUAUUCGGGGUGGUAAAGCCAUCCAGAUCCUCACAUGGAGAGGAUUGUCAUCGAGUACUCCGGAGUGUCGGGCAAUUAGGACAGAGUUGAUGUCCGCAGACAGUUUCGGGUUCGGGGGCACGUGGAGCCUCCUUACCCAAUGGGAUGGAUAUGUGAGGCAUAGGCAAACCCAAGGGUUUCGCCACAGAUUGGGUAAAUGAAAAAUUAAUAUUAUCAUCGAACAUUGCUUAUCGAACGUGGAUCGAACUUGUUAGCAUGAUAGUAAACUUUUACUAAUUGAUGCAUGCAUUCAUUUCACAUGAUUAUGAGCAUAGUAGCAUAGUUUUUCUAUUAUGUCUUUACAGUUUUGAUAUAUAUAUCUAUCUGUUUUGUUGUUACUUUUACCCACUUGGACCUAGUGGGGAGAUUGGCGGAGUCGGCAGCCGAGCCCACUGGGAACUAUGGAAGAUAGUUCUCACCCCACUUUAUUUCCAGGGCUAAGUACAGGUUUGCUGGCCGAGGACCGCGGCAAGGGCAUCGCGCCCGACCAAUGAGGAUUAUUGGUAGAGUAGUAGCUUUCCUUUUGUAUUAGCACACCUAUGUAUUGAGAGAGAUUCAUGUAGGUGAGGACUUUUGAGAGCUAUGUACUUGAGAGUAUGUAUUCAUUUUGAGGAAAAGAAUGUAAUUGUAUACAAAAUGCAAAUGUGAUGUAAUAGUUAGUAAGUUCUCUCUUUAUUUCACUUGUGUUUCUUGUGGAUUACUUGCUCUUUGUUGUUGGCACUGUUUGUGCCCCGUUGAUUGUGUACUUAUAGAAUUUAAAAUCCUGGGUAAAUUAUUGUACUCGAUUUGUUGUUGAGCCUUAGGCAGACAGGGGAGGUGCUGUCCGUUCGGCGUUUGUUUGCCGCGCUCGAACCGUGCCAAAUUGGUAAGGGUUUCGGGGCGGGGGCGUGACACCCCUAACCCUCAUUCUUUCCUACUCCUGCACAGUCUUUUUUAUGCUACCAUACAGGCUCCCCCUAUUGUGUCCGCCUGACCUUGGUGCCUUGAAGAUAGAUGCGAUGCCCUAACUUUCCAGGGGUCACCCAUCCUAGGACUACUCCCGUCCUAACACACUUAACUCUUUUAACCUUUUGGACCUAGCCACUAGAUAAAAUGCUUAAGUCGGGUUAAAAGUUUUAGUCCUAUUAUAUCUUAUUUAUAGGACUAUCUAGGAUCUCACAUUCUCCCCUCCCCUUUUAAGCCUACAUUCUCCCUCCCUUCCCCUUUAAGCCCUGAUGUCCUUGUCAGGCUCAGACUCACAAGUACGAAGUGAUGUGAGAGUCGUCUUGCUAGACUAAACCGAUCCUGUAGGGGAGCCGCACUCUACCCACAACAGUUAAUAGCAUGAGAGCCUCUGUAACAUACCGAACUUCUAAAGUCAUGAAGUUACGGUGUAUGUUAGCUUGGAAGAGUUGAAAAUGAGUUCUGAAGGUGUUAGAAGGGUUUUGGUAUCGACCGGCGCGAAGUAGAGUCGAGUCGGAGCCAAAACAGCACUCUGGGCAAUGUGUACCGGUACAGCAUUUAGAGUGUACCGGUACAGCAAUAUGUACCGGUACAGCAUUGAAAGUGUACCGGUACAAAUGCUACGAAACCGAGAGAGCUGCUCUCGGGUUUGGCCUCUGUGCAGAUGUGUACCGGUACAAAAACCCGUGUACCGGUACACUUUGGCUCUGGCAGCAAAUUUUGACCUAUUGCAAAAUAGAAGUUUUGGGGGGCCUAGUUGCAAUUGUAGCACACUAUAUAUAACCCCAAUCUCCUCUCCCCUUCACAGCAGCCCUCCUUCCUCAUUUCUUCUCCCUCUCUCUCUCUAGAAACACUACAACAAGGUGGAUUUGGAGGGGAUUGAAGAAGGGUUUGGAGAUUUUUGGAGCUUUUGAAGGGUUUGGAGCUCUCCUACAAGGUGUAGCUUGGGAUUGCUCUCGGGCUAAGGUGAGUUUGUGCAAGAACACUUCUAGAGUUUGGUUUUCCACCCUAAGACUUAGAGUGUUGGAGCUUCUUACAUGUUUAGAAGCCUCUUGAGACCUUGAAUCCAUGAAAUCCAUGAUUUUCCUCAAGGUGCUCUAAUGGUGAAAAGCUAGGGUUAGCUUUUGAUGCCCUAGGAAUGAGUAGAAUGGCUUGUAAAUAAUGUUAGAGAACUUCUAGAGGAAUUCUAUGCUAGCUUUGCUUAGCUUUAUAGAUCAAAUCCGGAAUUUUUGAGCAAAUGUCAUGUUAGGGCAUCCCAAAGAGGGGUUUUGCUCAUAUGGGGUUUUGAUCUAUUUUGACCUUGUGUAAACCUAAUUAAAGAUAUUUCCGACGCGUCGGCGAAGUUGGUUCGGCGAUCCGUCGAGCCUACGUGAAGAUAUUGAAGAAACGGACGUUUUGGCUUCGUUUCCGCCUGGAGGGCCGAGGCGACGUCCAAAAUUUACGAGAUCGGAUCCGAAGCAUCCUAGCAUCAAGUUAUAGACCUUCAAUUUCCGGAUCGUGGAUUGGUGGCCGUUUGGGUGGUCGCGUGCAAGUUCGGGCCGAACCGGGUUACAGGUGCCGCGGGAGGCCGAUUGCAAGUGACUACAAGCAAUCGGAAAGCUAUUUAAGGUGGGUUGUGUUUACCGAAGUGACUAGGUCGCCUGUAUGUCUAAGAUGAAUGUUUAUCAUUGAUGCUUAUUAUGGUAGCUAAUGGUAGAAUGUGUGAAUGUAUGCGAUGAAUGCUAUAUGGGCUACUAAAUAAUGCAUGAUGACACAGGGUGAAUAAUGCUAGUUGAAAGCAUGAGAUAAGUGACAUACGUUAGUAGUAAUGCCUAUUAACAUAAUGUGAGAAUACUAGACGAAUGCAUGUGGCAUGUAUAGAAAUGCUAAUGUAAGAAUGCUAAGUGAAUGCAUAUUGAUAUGAAAUAAGAAUGCUCAAAGAACAUAUGAUGAACAUGUUAUAGAAUGUUAGAUAAAUACAAGUUGACAUAUAGAGAACUAUAUUAAAUGACAUGUGCAUGUGGACAUAUAUACACAUAGAUCGAGUGGCAUUGAACCUAGUGUCAAGGACAUAGGUUAAGCAAGAGUAAUAGUGAACCAAGUGUUAAUAUACAUCGGUUCAACAAGUGUGGCUUGUAACCUAGUGUUAAUAUACAUAGGUUGAACAAGUGUGGCAUGUAACCUAGUGUUAAUAUACAUAGAUUGAACAAGUGUGGCAUGUAACCUAGUGUUAAUAAACAUAGGUUGAACAAGUGUGGCAUGUAACCUAGUAUUAUUGAACAUAGGUUGAAUAUGAACCUAAUGUCAUGAACCUAGGAUGGAUAAGAAUGAAUAUGAACCUAGUAUUAAAGAACAUAGGUUGUGGAAUAAACCUAGAGUUAAAGUAAACCUAGGUUAUGUGAUAAAGCAUCAAGCCUAGCGUCAAGUGGACCUAGGGUGGAAAGGACAUUGGACCUAGAUAGAUCGAUACUAUAGGGUUAAGACCAACCCUUGAGUUAUGUGAAAUGGAUUCCGCAAUCCCAGAGCUUAUGUAUCACACCGAGAAGGGUGUGGGGCGUGUGCGACGAUUUCGCCGCCCGGGGCUAAACCAUUGACGAGGUGUGUGCGACGAUUUCGCCACCGAAUGGUUAAGCCGGUUGUGGAUUAUACCGCUGGUUGACUCGAACCAUCGACGAGGCGUGUGUGCGACGAUUUUGCCGCGGGGUGGCUAGGUCAUGGAGCGCUGUGAGCUAUGGUUGGCCGAGGUGCAUGUGAGAGUUCCUUCACCUCGAGCUGGACAAAGCGCGGAUUAUCCGUAGCGAAUUGACUCAAGACCGAGUCGAGUGGCAUAGUGUGACUAAGGUAAGAGUAACCUCAGGAAAGAAUGGCAAAUGAGCGUAAUAUGACCAAGGUGUGAGUACCCUUAGUAAAGAAUAGAGAAUAGCUAAGAAUAAAAAGUGGCUAAUAAGAAAGAAUUGUAAGUAGUAAAGAAUGGCUAAUAAUAUGAAGUGGAAUUAAUUAAUUUACUUGCAUGAGUUACAGGAUUUGCAUAAUGUUCAUAUUGCAUUUUGUGAGACAUGUUAUCUGUUAGUUGCAUAAUAACAUAAUGAUAUAUAUCUGUAUAUGUUUUUGGACUAACAUGAUUGCAGUGCCUCCUUGGACCUAUUGGUCGAGCUUUUUUCUUGGGUGGCCGUACCCACUGGGAACCAUGAAGUUGGUUCUCACCCCACAUUGUUUUGGGGUGUUACAGUUCGCACGUGAGCGGCGCAGCUGUGCGAGGCAAGGGCGUAGCUACAUAGAUAGCGCCCUACCCAGAGACCAGAGAUAGCAGUACCCCGAGUCGGCAUAGCCUAGGGGGAGAGGGAAAUAAAAAGAACAAGAUGAAUGGAUUAAACUUGUAAUAAAUUAUUGCAACUUGGAUUGUAUUCGGAAGUUGGAAAAAUGUAAUAGUAAUUGUGAUGUAAAAUGCACCUCAAGAUGAAUGUUGUAAUAACUUAGUUGUUUUAUAUUUUUGAUACUUCCUUAUGCAAUCUUUGGUUGAAAUGUGUUCCUGGUUGGAACUUCGUACAUUGUACAGGUUGCGACGCCUAGGACGUACAGGGGAAACUCUAUCCGUUCGGCAGUCUGUUGGCGUUCCCGAACUCGACCAAAUAGGCAGGGCACGGGGCGUGACAGCCUCGCUCUCCCGCUGUAUAAUUCUGAGUCGAGACUCAUCUCAUUCUUUCGGUUGAUAAAUCGGUCCCAUACCAACUGUGACGCCCUAACUUCUGAGGGGGUCACCUAUCCUAGGACUAUUCCCGUCCUAGCACGCUUAACUCUCUUAACCUCUUGGGUCUAGCCACUAUUCAAAAUGCUUAAGCUGGGUUAAGAGUUUUAGUCAUAUUAUAUCUUAUAUAUAAAUCUAGGGUGUCAUAAUAGAGAGGAAAUAUAACGGGAGGUCGGAAAGAACCGAGUUCACAGGCGUUAGUCUGCCGCCGCAUGAAAGAAGUUUUGCAUGCCAACUUUCGAUUCUCUUUUCUACUUUAUAAAUGACCCCCGACUAAUCCUCUUAACUUCCUGUUUGUCAGUGGCAAGCCCAGAUACUUUAUCGGGAACAUCCCAAUUUUACACUGCAGAAUGCUUGCAAGCCUUGGCGCCCUAUCUUCUCCUUUUCCUAUGUAGAAUAGUCCGUUUUCGCUUUAUUAAUCUUCACUCCCGAGGUCCAUUCAAAAAGACUCCACAUAAACCUAUGGUUCUUGUAAUGCCCCAAUAGUCUCACAUCGGAUGAAAAAAUGAUUACAUUAAAAUAUAUGAGACCUACACGCUAGUAAUGAUAACUGGGUUUAAAUAUUUUGGGCCGGUCGUUUGGGCCCAACAAGUUAUUGUUGCUAGCGGGUCGAGUCGUUACAAUUGGUAUCAGAGCCAAAUACCAGCCGAAAGUGUGAGAGCUAAGUGCCAUGCAGGGCAAAGUGCUACACUAAUGGGUUUGGUGGGAGCCAUCUUUUGAACUCAUAGGAGCCACCUUUAGAAUCUCACAUCGCCUGGUAAUUUUGGUAUGUACCUAUGAACUAGUUUGGACCCGACGAAGAUGUCAGGAUCUAAACAGGGGAGUUUGUAACGCCCCAAUAGUCCUACAUCGGAUGCAAAAUGAUUCUGCUUACAAUAUAUGAGACCUAUAUGCUAGUAAUAAUAACUGGGCUUAUGUAUUUUAGGCCAGUGGUUUGUGCUCAACGAGUUAUUGUUGCUAGUGGUUCGGGUCGUUACAAUUCUCAGAAACCUUUCUUAGGCUCACAAAAGAAAAUCGUGUCAUCUGUGUACUAAAUAAUAGACAACCAACAAUUCUCCUAAGACCAAUUCCUUUUAAAAGAUUGUGACUGGUUGCUUUUUUUGUCAUCUUCGCAAGGCACUUAGCCACCAUUAAAAAUAAAAAUGGAGAUAAGGGUCACCCUGCCUUACCCCUCUUUUCAUUUUUAUCCACCUUGUCGCCUCUCCGUUGACCAUCACUGCUACCAUAGCAUUACAUAAACAUUGGCUAAUCCACCCAUACCAUUUCUCAUCGAAACCCUACCACUCCAUAUCUCUUUUUAGAAAGUCCAGUUAACCUUGUUAUAUAUAUGCUUUUUCAAAGUCUACCUUCACCCUUACCCCUUUUGUUGCCACUUUGUAGUCCCAUGAAGUGAGUUCACUUGCAGAGACAAACAAGUAGAAAAUGAGCCUAAUUUUUAGGAACCCCGAUUGUGAUGAGGAUAAUUUCAUUCAUAACUCCUUGCAAUCUGUACCCAAAACCUUAGAUAUUAUUUUUUGUACUCCAUUUAACAAACUUAUAGGUCAGAAGUCGUUUGCAAUCCUAGUUCCAUCUUUCUUUUGAAGUAAGCAUAUGAAUGAAUAGUCGAUAGGGCCAGUGAAAGCCUCUCCUUUAUAUAGCUCUUGGAAAAUGUUCGAAAUAUUCCCCUUGAGGUAUCUCAGAAGGUCUAAUAGAAACUCAUGGGAAAUCUAUCUGGUCCCGACGACUUGUCUCCUCCAAGUUGAAAGAUAGCUUUUCUGAUCUCCUCCAAUCUAAAGUGCAAUGUAAGUCUUUCAGGAUUUGUGAUUUGCCUAGUUUGGAAAAGCCCACUCCAAUCUCCAUGCAAAAAUCUUUUUGAACUUUCUCCAGAAAUAAAGUUUCUUCUCCUCUUCAAUAAAAAUAUUUUUUCCAUUAUCAUCGAUCAUACCUUUCCCAUUCGUUCAUUUCCUGACAUUAGCUACUACAUGAAAAACCUUUGUAUUCCCAUCACCUUCUCGUAACCAUCGUUGUUUGGCCCUAGUUUUCCAUAAAGCUUCGUCAUUUUCUAACACACCUAAGAGCAUCUCUUUAAGUUUUUUAUUUUUAUUUGCUAAAUCCUAUGUUAUGUCCUAAUGCUACUCUAUUUUGUUCAAUCAUCUAGAUUUCUCACAUUAGUUCGUCCUUUUUCCUUCCAUUGCUAUAAAAGUUUAUUGUACACCAUUUCUUUAUUCUCUUACGGCAAUGUCUCAACUUUGUGGUGAGCAACUUUGUGGUGAGCGUAAGAAUUGCAAUUCUUUUGUCCUCUAUUUCUUUCCACCAUAAUAAACUUUUGUGAUAAAGUCCUCACUAUUCAACCACACCUCCUCAAGUUUGUAUAGUUUGCUUCUUGUUUUGUCUCUUAUUGAGAGCAUAAUAGGGCAAUGAUUUGAUGUAAUUCUGGGGAGUACUACAACUUUAGAAAAUGGAAAGCUCUGAUCCCAUUUUGUCAAUAUGAGGAAGCGAUCUAAUUUAGCUAGAUAGGCGCUUUUUGCAUGUUCGACCAAGUAUAUGCUUGGUUCUUCAUCGGCAUAUCUAUCAAUGCUAAAUCUCGGAUGACAUCGUUGAACAUGUUCAUCAAUUUAUAACUCCACCGUCUAUGCUUUCGCUCCUCCCGAUUCCUAGUGAUUUGAAGCCACAAUAAAUCACCCAUUUGUUAGGCAUUAAAGAGAACCUUUACUUAAUAAUCUUGCUACAAAAGAAGUCUCGUGAACUCCAACAAGUCAAAAUACCCCCAUAUGCACCAGUAGACUGAAUAAACUGACACUUGUCACAACAGGAGCCACAAUAACUAUGAAGAAAUGAAAGCGAAAAGACUCCAAGGUAACAAAAGCAAUAAACAAAGAUCGUAAGGUUAGUAGUAAUGAGAUAAUAAUAGGCAAUAAAUGCGAAAAAUAUCGCUACUGAACAGAAAACAACCAUUAAGCAUAAUCAACAAGUAUACUAAAAUAGUAGCAAUAAUGACAAAGGAAAAGAUACAACUUUCAAUCAGUAUAUAAUUAUCUGCUACUGUAACUAACUAUAGAACGUACCAAUGCAGCAAUUGGGUGAAUAAAACCAACAACCAAAAUCACUGCCGUAUUGGUCGAAAGACCUUAGGCUAAACCACAUCUUUCUCCACCACCUGGCAUAUAACACUAUACUAGGCACCUUGUAGGGCUCACAGGUCGGAAGUACGACCACUUUUUCAAAAAGAACACCCUCUUGCGGUGGAUCAGACCGCUGGUGUACGUGAAGAUGCUCACAAACAGUGGCAAUCGAUGUAACAUGCUUAAUGGCCAACAACAGCAACUACCUGAAAGAAUAAUCUGCAAAGUCCGACCACAUCAGGUCCACUAAUCCCGAAGGAAAUGUCACCAUAUCACCGACCUACAAGGUCUAUAUAACCAAGUCACUAUGUACGGGAUACGAAAAGUCAUAAUGUCAAGUCAUAUAAUAGGUCACUAGAGAUGCCACCAACCGCAAGGUCUACUAAUGUCAAAUCAUGUCAUAUACAAAUACGAGUGUCACCGACCACAAAGUCAAUAAUUGUCAUAUCAUCUACUAUGAUCAUGUCAAAACAGAAGUUCCACUGACUAUAAGAUCAACUAAAGUCAAAACACAAAGUAUAUGACUACGAGUGUCACUGACUCUAAAGUCAACUAAUGUCAAAUCUACUACGAGUGUCACCAACUAUAAAGUCAACUAAUGUCAAGGUCAUCUACUAUGAACACACCAUGGAUGACUCAAUCAAUAGGAGCACCGCUCAACUACUAGAUCAUGACCAUAUGAAAUAGAAGUGAGUGUAGAGUGACUAACUAUAAAAUCAAGUAGUGUAUGAAAGCUCAGCCAUAUCAAGCAAAUGGAAGGAGAUAAUAAGGAUAGAAAUCACCGAGCAGGCACCACUUUACUGACUUUGGAUCGAAGUACCAACCUCUACCGAAGAAUAAAGCCGGGUCGUUGACACCCGUCGAUGUCUCCCAUCACAGUCUAGGACUACACAGAGUCCCACAAAAAACGUAAUUAGCUCAAGCUCGCUAAUUACAAAAGCUAUGGUUUCAAGUGGAACCAACAGGCGAGCAAUCGGGCUUCCGGAUCACGUUCCACGGUCACCAAAAUAUCACCCGAUUGUCGCAUCGACUCGUUGGAAUGUCACCCCAACCUACGAGGCAUUCCAACACAAGUCCCACACAAAGCCUAUCUCAUUUGUUGUCCAAUACAUCAAUUUAAUGCCAUUGGGGCAGCCGCACAAAUAGUGUGUCAGAACGGAAAGUUGAGAUUCCAGGAAUCACCGGUUUGGCUCCCGGGGUCCCCAUUUCUGUUAUGCCCCGCAACCGCCAAUUUGGUCGGUUCGAGCACGCACACAGACCGCCAAACGUACAGAGUCUCCCCUGUACCACCCAAGGCUCAACAACAUCAUGUACAUCUAGUUUUGCCCAGGUAAAACAAAUAACAUACAUGAUUUGCGCGAGAAUAAUAAACAAGAGCAAGAGAGAAAUUUAACUAAACUAUUACAUUCAUUCAUUUACUUAACCAUUUACAAAUUGCAACCAUUUGUUUCAUACAUAGUCUCCUCACUAUAUAUUCUCUCCAAAACAUAACAUGUCUCUUACAUAAGUAUGUACAGGGUAUACUAAUGCACGGGAGGUCACUACUUAGGGCGCUAUGCCCUUGCCACAAUCCUCGGCUGCUCCGUUAGGACUGGGAUCUGCAAAAUAAGGGGUUGAGAACUAAAAGAAGUUCCCAGUGGGUUUGGCCGCCAACCCCGCCGAUUUUUUCACUAGGUCUAAGUAGGCAUAAGUAGAAAGAGAACGAGAGUAAGAAAUACUAACAUACUUGUCACGCCCCGAGCUCGCCUAUUUUGUCGGUUCGGGCACACCGACAGACCGCCGAACGGACAGAGUUUUUCUUGUACGUCCUAGGCGUCGCAAUCAAUACAAUACAAGAGGUUCCAACCAGGAACAGUAUUCAAGCAAGGAUUGCACAAGGAAGUAUCAAAAACAUAAAACAACUAAGUUGUUACAAGCAUUCGUCCCAAGUUUACAUAUUACAUUUUCUUUUACAUUCGACUUCCAAAUACAAUCGAUCAUAACAUGCAAUAAGCUAAGUAGAUCAACUGAUUCUACUUUCAAUCCUGCUAUUCAUAGCUCAUCCAAUUGACUUCUAAGUUUUUCUAUAUCUUAGAUUCAUGUCAAUUAUAACUUACUCUUAAAGUUUUAACUAUCUUUAUCAUGCUAUCCACCCGAUUCGGUCUUGAGUCAAUCAUCCGCGGAAUACCGUGCAAAGCCAAGCUCAAGGUGAAGGACGUCUCACUUGCACCUCAGCCUUAAAUCCAUUCAACUAGGAUGCAACUACAGCUCAUAUGUUUGUCACCCAAUCAAUUGGCUAACCCGAAGGUUUGCCCUCAACUCACCAUGCCAUCUCGUAAGGUAAGGAGACGCACCUCGCUCGCAAACCCUAGACCGUCUGCGGGACAUCACCUCUGCCCCUCGUGUGACAACUCUGAAGUGCACUACUUGGGUGGAGCGACCACUGCCAAGCUCAAAACAGACUAUGUGAGUAUGAUCCAAUCCUCUCCAACCGAGGAUACCCUACCAACUAGGGAUACAACAACUCGGGAACUCAACUAUCCCUCUGUUCAUAUUCAAGUGUCAUAUCUACACUAGAUUCACAUAUCACAUAUCACGACUCAGGGAUUCCACCUAUCCCUAAGUUCAUAUCAUAGUGUCUUUACUACACUAAUAUCAAAUGCCACUCGAUAUACUUGACAUCCUAGCUGUUCACAUCGAGUAUCGUAGUUUACACACUCUUGUUUUCCAAUGUCGAGUUUUCUAACCAUCCAAGAGUUAUCGACCCAAGUUCAACAUGCAUAUGUUAUUUAACAUAAUCCACGAUAUACCAACACGCAUAUACAUCAGCUAACACCUCAUGAUAUAUCAACAUGCAUAUAUUUCUAUCUAGCAUUUCAUCUAGUAGAUUGCAAUAAUAGGCAACAUCAUCUAGCAGUUAACACAUACAUUCCUCUAGCAUUUAACUCAUGCAUUCAUCUAGCAGUUAACACAUGCAUUCCUCUAGCAUUUAACUCAUGCAUCUAUCUAGCAUUUAACAUAUUAUACGCAUUAACGAGAAACUACACUUUGCUUCGACAUGGAAGCGAGCUAAUAACUUCGGUGAGCACAACCCACCUCGCAACGCUCUCCGAUUGCUUGUCGACACUUGCAAUCGGCCUCCCGCGGUGCACGUCGUCCAGUUCGGCCCGAUCUUGCAAAUAAUCACUAACAGUGCGUCAAUCUGCGGCCUCGGGUUUUAAAGGGCUUCAUCUAGAUGCCGCGACGCUAGAAAUUCGUUUUCGUGAUUUUUGGACGCCGCCUCGGCCUUCCAGGCGGAAACGAAGCCAAAAACAUCCUUUUUUCCCAUAUCCUCGCGUGGCCUCGACGGAUUGCCAAACCGACUUCGCCAACGCGUUCGUAUAUCUAGUAAUUUUGUUCACACAGGUUCAAUUUAGAUCAAACCCUUACAUUUUACAGAAACCCCAUUUUAAGCCUUAGUAUGCAUACAACCUCCAAUAACCCAAAAUCAAAUGGAGAAACAUGCUAGAAUCACUCUAGAUACUGCUAGAACACUAAGCAUAAAGGAUUUAACCGAAUCCUAAACACUUAUCAAAUUGCGAAUGCCGAGACGGAAGCACCCCGCUCAAACGGGUGCACGAGAGCCCGAACCGUCGCCUCCAACGCGUUCGCAAGCUCCUUCUCCUCCAAAAUCCCAACUUUAAGAGAGAGAUCUAGAGAGAUAAGAGAGAGAUCUAGAGAGAUGAGAGAGCCUCUCUCUCUACCCUUGUGUGUGUGUGUGGUGUGUUUGCUGUGGGAGAAGAAAAAAAAGGAUGGAGGCUUUUUUUUAAAUCAAUCCCCUCACAAUUACCAAUUAGCCCCUGCACUUUCUGGGCAAUUUUCGGGCUCAGGGACCGGUCCUUGGCUAGAGGGACCGGACCCCGUAGGUCCAUAAAUUCUGCACUUUCAGACUUAACCAAAAUUUCAGCCUUUUCUCCAAUUUUGGUCUGUUUUCGCUCGUUUUUGCUCCGUGGGUCUCCGAUUCAUCUCAAAUCGCACCGAGACGCGCAAGACAUGUUUUCGAGCACGUCAAACCAUCUUUUCAUCCACGCCUUGCCGAACUUCGGCCAAGGUCCAAUCAUAGCAUUCGGGUUCCGUUUUCGCGCCCAACGCGUACCGAGAACACCCGAAAGCUCCCGAACUUCGCCGGAACCAUUCAAACGACUUUCCAAACUAAUAUACACUGUAACUUUAUAAUUAUAGAAGUUCGGUAUGUUACAAUACUACUAUGCCUCAACAAUAUGAUAUGAUGAAUAAGUAACCAUUAUGCUCAUGAUGCAUGACAUUCAUAUGCUUGUAACCGAAUCAUACCGGCUAACCCAAAGGUUUAACCCAACUCACAACCAAUCCCACAGAUGAGGAGACUUCCAGCUAUGCUCAUCCGGGACCAUCUGCUCGGUAGAUACGUUAACCGAAUAUGUGACAACUCCGGAGCCCACUACUUGGGUGGACCGACCACCACCAAGCUGACAGACGCUAUGUGAGUACAAUCCAAUCCUCUAAACUUGAGAUAUCCUACCAACUAGGGGCAACAAUACUUGGGGAUUUAUCCAUCCCUAACAUCUAGUGUCAGGAGUGCUACCACAUCGCUAGUCCAAAUGCCACCAUUCUAUGUCACUAUGUUGUCUAAGUUCACAUUCGGUUCAUGGCACUAUAGAGAUUGCCUUGUCCAAGACCCAAUCCUUAUGCAUAUAACAUCUAUGUUACAUUUCACAUUUUCUAUAUUUACUAUGAGAGCAUGCAAAGAAUUGAGUGCAUAACACAUACUAUUCUAUAAUGCGCGAGUUUACAUAUAUACAUACAUGGCCAACAAUAGUAACAUAGACAUAGGAAGAAACUCAACAAUUUCGGAUAGCACCACCCACCUUAGAUUGAUGCUAAGAAGUGAGAAACCGAGUCCCACGAUUUACUAACACCAUUUUGGCUCGACCUAAGAGUAACGAACACUGUGUUUUUCUCCAACGGUAUGCUGUAAGCUCGUAGAAACCUUGUUUUAAGCCUCCCAACGUGUCGAUUUAUUCUUCAAUUAAGGAAUUAAGAGAUCAAUUUCACCAUAAACCCCAUAUCUACAAAAAUCCUAAUUUCAAUCCUAGGGUUUCCUAAAACAUGGUGAAGAACCGAUCACUAUGAGAAAUCAUGGAUCAUCCUAGAUUUCUAAACCACAAGAACCCCAAAACAUGGAUUCUAGGUCAAUCAAAGAAAACCCUAGGUUUAAAAUUGCUAAACCUUACUUUGGCCACUUCUAGACCUCAAACUCCACCUUGUAGGAGAGCCUCUUCCACUCCACUAAGCUCCAAAAUCCUUCCAAACCUCUCCAAUCCACCUUGUUGGAGAGCUUCUAGAGAGAGAAAGAGAGGGAGAUGAGAAAAGAGGAAGGAGGGUGUUCUCAGCUUGUGUGCAUGAGAGAAGAGAGUUGGGACUAUAUAUGUCACGCCCCGAGCUCCGCCUAUUUGGUCGGAUUCGGGCACGCCGACAGACCGCCGAACGGACAGAGCCUCCCCUGUACGUUCUAGGCGUCAACAAUCUAAACAAUGCAAUACAAGAGGUUCCAUGCAGGAACUAUAGCAAGUAUGUAGAUUGCAUAAGUAUCAAAAACAUAAAAUGCUAACUAUGCUAUUACAAGCAUUCAACUCACAGAUUCUUUAGACAUUUACAAUAGUUUACAUUUACAUAACCAAAUGUGCUUUUAAGUUAUUACAAAACUUAUACAAAUUACUACAAAUUUGUUUCCUUCCAAUUGGAACUCUGAGCUGGACCUCUUCGGGGUACUUCUAUCUCUGGUCUCGGUGGUAGGGCGCUAUCUACGGAGCUACGCCCUGUCCUCGCGCCGUUGCGCCGCUCACGUGUAACCUGUACCCCCAAAACAACACGGGGGUGAGAACUAUAUAAAUAUAGUUCCCAGUGGGUACGGCCACCCAAGGGAAGAGCUCGACCCACCAGGUCCAAAGGAGGCAACAGUAGGUUAGUUCAACAAAUAGAUAGAUAGAUAUUUGACUAAGCAAUAAAUAAAACCAUACCUUGCCUCGCUGCUAUGCAAUAUGCAAUACCUGUCAAUCAUGUAAGUAGAUUACUUGAUUCUACUUUAUAUCUUUAACCAUUCUUUACUUAUAGCCGUUCUUUUAUUUCUUAGCUAUUCUCGUUCAUUAGCUAAUUUCAUUAUCGUUCAUGUUUUGCUCUUUAUUCUUUGUACUUGUACUUGGUGUUCUACACCUUAAACUUGGGCCCACUAUAUUCAUUGGCAAAUUCUUUCUUAAGGUUGCUCUUACCUUAAUCUCACUAUGCCACCCGACUCGGUCUUGAGUCAAUCAAUCGCGGAUAGUCCGCGCACUGUCUAGCUCGAGGUGAAGGAACUCUCACAUGCACCUCAGCUGGCGACAGCUCACCGUACUCCUGUCCUAGCUGUCUGGCGGCGAACGAGUCGCACCUCACCCAACAACAGCCUAGGUCAAUGACUUAGCCACCCGGCGGCGAAAUCGUCGCACACGCCACGACAGUGGUUCAGUCAACAGGCGGUAGGAUCCACAAGCUGGCUUAACCAUCUGGCGGCGAAAUCGUCGCACACGCCGAACAAUGGUUCAAGCCUCCGGGUGGUGGACACUGCGCACACACCCAAUCCUGCCUUGGUAUCAAUCUCGGCGGCGAAAUCGUCGCACACGCCCUAGCCUUGAUACCAAGGUUAUAAUAGAUCUUGGGAUUCCGGAAUCCAUUUCCACAACUUGAGGGUUUACUCACUUUACCCUAUGUUGACGACCCUCCUAGGUCGAUACCAAUCCUUUCCUAGUGGUCACUAUACCACUAAUAUUCACAACUUAGUUCAAAUGUACUAAGUCUUACUAUAUAUCAUAACCUAGGUUCAUUUGCUAGGUUUUAUAUCAUUUUCACCUAGAACUCGACUCUAGGUUUAAUUACUUGACCUAUGUCCAAUGACACUAGGUUAAUGUCCGACCUCUGUUUCAAGAACACUAGGUUCAUGCCACUCGAUCUAUUACAAGUUGCACAUUUUCAUUUACUUUGUUACCGUCCAGAUUUCUACUCAA